CGAAGAGGUACCUGAAACCAAAACUUAAACUAUAAACACAAAGCUUAGUGAGUUCCCCCCAUCAUACCACACACCACAUAACACCAUCGGUAUCUUUCAACCGGUAACUGUCAUCGGUAUCUUUCAACCGGUAACCAUCAUCAGUAUCUUUCAACCGGUACACGCCAUCGGUAUCUUUCAACUGGUAACUGGGGACUAUUUCACCCCAGCACUAGCAUACCAUAACGAGAGAUAAUCAUACAGUCAGGCAUAACUGGGUAGGGACAACUAAUCCAUUCUACACACAUAGCAUAUCAUACAUGCAUAUCUCGUGACCAUAACACAUUAACAUACCAAGAUAAUUAUCACGAAGACAAUCAUCUCAUACAUAACUACUUACUGGUGGGCCGACAUUAGUUCCAUAGACCCAUCCCUACUGGAAGGUAACUCACCUCGUAGUAGUAGCUGACGAUCUAUGCGGGAGCUCUCUGCCUGCUGCUGCUGCUCCGGGAAUCCUCCGGCUAUAAUUCCCACAAAACACCCAAUCAGAGUCUAAUAACUACUCUUAUGUAGGGAUGACUAUUCUACCCUGACCUAGUCAAAGUCAAGCCAAAGUCAACUUCCAACUGAACUGACUCACCGAGUUGGGCCGCUAACUCGUCGAGUCCUUAUCGAUCUAACUUUCCUCAUUCCCGUCCCUACUCAUCGAGUUAGGCAAUGACUCAAUGAGUUAUCCUCCUAUUCGAACAUCGAAUGAUCCUUCAUCCGACUCGCCGAGUUGUAUGAACAACUCGUCGAGUUCAUCUUCAUCUGAAGAACAAGCCCUGUCCUUGACUCGUCAAGUUAUAUGAACAACUCGUCGAGUUCAUCUUCAUGUGCUGGGAGAUUUCCUUGGACUCGCCGAGUCUGUUCAUGCACUUGCCGAGUCCCAUGAACUCCAGGUCUAAGGCUAAGUCCAAUACGUCUAAACAACUAUGGGACUCCCUUUUCUAACAACUGACCAUCGCAAAAGGGUUUAAGAUGGCUGAAAGUGCACUGACUCGCCGAGUCCCAAGAACGACUCGCCGAGUCCAACCUUGACCAUUUCUAUACAGUCGAACUAAAAGGGAUUUAACACACCAAAACCAUAGAUUUGGCCUCCUAAUGUCCAUUUUAUAUGUAAAGUUCCAAACUUGAUGCACAUGCAUGGGGUUUUUAGCUCAAAAGUCCAUAGAAGGUGCUCUACAAUGUGCAUGGGGCUCUCAUGGCCAUAAAGUUGGCACCUUUAUGCCAUGAGAACCCUCCAAUGACUCAGAUCUGGAAGUAGAGCCCCAUGAAUCACCUUACAAAUCUGAAAAUGACUUAAGAAGCCCUAAAUGCACCAUGACCCUAGGCCAUAAAGAUGAACAACCAAAAAAGGAAGACCAAAACAGGGGGAAUUUACCUUGCUUGAGCUGAAGAUGAAGUAAGAUCUCUGGAUCUACAAGUCCCAACUCAAAAUCCCAAGCUUCCUUUUUCCUUCCAAGCUUCACAAACCAACCAGGAACACCAAAAUGGACUUAACACACACACAAACGGCUAGGGUUUCGAUAUCCAGCUCUAAGGGAGUGUUAGGGACAAGGGAGGCUGAGUUAAGGUGUUUAUAUAGGGUGCAAACCCUCAGAUUUAGGGUUUUACUCGCACAGCGCCUACUCGCCAAGUUCGUCUUCCGACUCAUCAAGUACAUCACUUAAGAUGUCUGCGGACUCGUCUCUACUCGACGAGUGGGUCCUCCGACUCGUCGAGUCCCAGGGCAAAACAUAAAAAUGCUUGAAUUAAAUGUGUACCAGGAAUUGGGUGCUACAAAUCUCCCCCGCUUAUUUUAGACUUCGUCCUCGAAGUCUACUGCUCGUUCCUGGAAAAGUUAUGGGUAAUGCUCCAUCAUCUCAUCAACCGGCUCCCAAGUCCAUUCUGAGCCCUUUCAGUGCUGCCAUUGCACCUUCACCAUGUCGACCCUCUUAUUCCUCAAAUCCUUCGACUUCGGGUCAAGGAUUGCUACCGGUCGCUCGAUGUAAUUCAGGAUGUCAUCAACCUGGAUAUCCUCUAAGGGUACCACUGCUGAGUCGUCCACCAGGCACUUCCUCAGCUGGGAGACGUGGAAAGUGCUGUGGAUAUGGCUGAGUUCGGCUGGUAGAUCCAAUCUGUACGCCACCUUACCCAUUCGGGCUAAAACCCUGAACGGUCCAAUGUACCUGGGGCCUAAUUUUCCCCGUUUCCUAAAUCGGAUGACGCCUUUCCAUGGCGACACCUUCAGGAGAACCAUAUCCCCGACCUAGAACUCUAGGUCUGAUUGGCGCUUGUCGGCAUAACUUUUCUGCCGACUCUGAGCAGACUGAAGCCUGCUCCGGACCUGUUGAAUCCUCUCCGUCGUCUUGAGCACCACUUCGGUGCUCCCCAUGACCCUCUGACCAACCUCACCCCAGCAUAUCGGGGUCCUGCACUUCCUCCCGUACAACAUCUCGAAGGUAGGACGAUUGAUACUCGCAUGAUAGCUGUUGUUAUACGAGAACUCAGGCAAUGGGAGGUAAGUAUCCCAACUACCACCGAAGUCUAGCACACAUGCCCGCAGCAUAUCCUCCAAAUUCUGGAUGGUCCGCUCGCUCUGACCAUCCGUCUGCGGGUGAAAUGCAGUGCAAAAGUGCAGACACGUACCCAACUCAUCGUGGAAUUUCUUCCAGAACCUGGAAGUAAACCGCACAUCUCUGUCUAAAAUCACGGAGACUGGCACUCCAUGCCGUUCCACCACUUCCCGAAUGUAGAUGUCAGCCAACUUUUCGGUCGAGAUACUCUCCUGGAUUGGUAUAAAAUGGACAAUCUUGGUCAACCGAUCCACGAUGACCCAUAUGGAAUCCACUCCCCGCACGGUCCUGGGAAGUUUGGUGAUGAAGCCCAUAGUAAUAUCUUCCCACUUCCACAGAGGAAUAUCCAACAGCUGCAUCUUGCCGUGUGGCCUCUGGUGCUCGGCCUUGACCUUCCUGCAGGUGAAGCACCACUCCACGUACCAUGCUACAUCCCACUUCAUGCAGGGCCACCAAUAGUCUACACGAAGAUCUCUAUACAUCUUCUUCGCCCCGGGAUGAAUGGAGAAUCGGGAUUUGUGUGCCUCCUCCAACAGCACCUGGCGCACACCCCCGAGGUACGGUACCCACACCUUAUGGUGUAAUGUCAAUAAUCCUCGGCUAUCAUAGUCGAAGGAGGAUAACUGUCCCACAAUCCGAUCACUCUUCCGAUGUUCCUCCUUCAUGGCCUCCUCCUGGGCCUCCAGAAUCCGCUCCAACAGCGGAGUCACCAUUGUCAUCCUCAUACAGAUAUCCCUGAUCGGUGCUGCCUUGCGGCUAAGCGCGUCGGCCACCACAUUGGCCUUCCCGGGUGGUAGAGGAUCUCACAGUCAUAAUCCUUUACCACAUCAAGCCACCGACGCUGCCUCAUAUUCAGAUUUGGUUGGUCCAUGAGAUACCUCGGGCUCUUGUGGUCCGUGUAGAUAGUACAACGAACCCCAUAUAGGUAAUGGUGCCAAAUCUCGAGGGCGAACACAACAACCCCCAGCUCCAAAUCAUGCGUCGAGUAGUUCACCUCGUGAGGCUUCAGCUGCCUCGAAGCGUAAGCAAUAACAUGCCCUCUCUGCAUCAAUACUAUGCUCAAGCCGAGAUGGACGCAUCACAGUAUACAACAAAAUCCUCCAUGCCCUCUAGCAAGGCUAAGAUUGGCGUCUCGCACAAUAUCUGUCUCAAUGUCUCGAAUGCAGCCUGCUGCUCAGGCCUCCAACGAAAGACCACGACUUUCCUCGUCAGCCUAGUCAGGGGCACGGCUAUCUUGGAGAAGUCCUGAAUGAAUCUCUGAUAGUAGCUCUGAAUCUCGGAUAGAGACCUCGGAACCUCCCACCUCAUCACGGCCUCUACCUUGGCUGGGUCAACCGAAAUCUCAUCCUGGUUGACGAGAUGCCCAAGGAACUGCACCUCGCGUAACCAGAACUCGCACUUGGAGAACUUGGCAUACAAGCUCUCCCUCCUCAAGGUAUCCAGAACCUCCCGUAGGUGUUCCUCAUGCCGCUCUCUCGUCUUGGAAUAUACCAAGAUAUCAUCAAUAAAGACUAUCACAGACCGAUCCAACAUCGGUCUGCACACGCGGUUCAUGAGAUCCAUGAACGCGUCAGGAGCAUUGGUGAGCCCGAAGGGCAUCACCACAAACUCAUAAUGGCCAUAGCGCGUCCGGAAAGCAGUAUUCUGCACAUCCUCCUCUCUGACCCUCAUCUGAUGAUACCCCAAAUGCAAAUCAAUCUUGGAGAACCAAGAUGCUCCGUGUAGUUGUUCAAAGAGGUCAUCAAUCCCCGGGAGUGGGUAACGGUUCUUUAUCGUUACCUUAUUCAGCUCCCAGUAAUCUAUACACAUCCGGUGCGGCCCGUCCUUCUUCUUCACAAGCAGAAUCGGAGCUCCCCAGGGUGAACUACUUGGUCUAAUGAAUCCUUUGUCUAACAGCUCCUGCAGCUGUGUAGACAACUCCCGCAUCUCAGGAGGAGCCAACCGAUACGGUGUCUUGGCUAUCAGAGCCGCACCAUGGACUAGGUCGAUCCUGAACUCCACCUGCCUCUCCGGAGGUAUCCCAUGCAACUCCUCGAGGAAUACAUCCGUAAACUCUCGCACCACAGGUACAUCGCCCACCAUCACUUGACCCGCCUCCCAGGUAUCCAUAACAUAGGCGACAUAUCCUACGCAACCCUACUGGAGGUAGCGCCUAGCCCUCGCUGCCGAACAUAAAGUUGGUCCUUGAUGUGGCCUCUCGCCCUGAACCACCAGCUCUCCCCCACUUGGCGUCCUGAUCCGCACCAACUGCUGCGCGCAGUCCAUCACUGCCCCAUUGGGUCUUAGCCAAUCCAUACCAAUAAUAACUUUGUUCCCCCGCAAGGGUAUGGGAACCAGAUCAACCAGGUAACACUCCGCGAACAUCCUCAAAACACAAUCUCGGUAGACCUCUGAUGCUCGCACUGACCGGUCGUCCGCAAUCUCGACCUCAAGGGGGCAAUCCAACAUGCCCGAAGACUCAGGAAACCUCUUGCUAAGCGCAAGAGAGACAAACGAUUGGGUAGCACCCGAAUCAAACAAUACAUGAACUGGGAUACCGUUCACAUGGAACGAUCCUAAACAUAACACAUACAUAUAACACAUCAAAAUCAUGACAACAUAACGUAAAAGAUAUGAGAGUAGAAAUCAUACCCGUCACCACAUUGGGUGCAGCGCGUGCCUCCUCGGCUGUCAGCUGAAAUGCUCAGCUCCGUACCACUGGAGCCUCCGUCUUGACCUUCCGGCCAUCCGUAACCCGCACAAUUGCUGGAGUUGGCGCCACUGCCAGCGUCGCUGCUGCUGUCAAUCUGGGGCAAUUGACCUUUUUAUGGCCCCUCUAAUUGCAAUGAAAGCAAAUUAGGUCUUAUGUCUAAAUCGCAGGAGUAGGGGCAAUACAAUCUCUGCCAAAAUGCCCAAUCUUGACACACUUAUAGCAGUUGGAACCUGUCCCAGUGCGGCAAACUCCCUCAUGUGAUCGACCGUACUUCCCACAGUGGUCCCGCCCUGAAUGGCCUUUUGGCCUAACAUCGGAUCCCUUGGGCUUCUUCCCCGAAGCCCCUGUCGUCUGUCCUACCUCUACCUUCCUCUUCCGUAUGUGCUCCAGAUCAAUCUCUCUCUCCCUUGCCCUGGCAAUCAUGGAAUCCAAGGUGGGGAAGGCUGAAAAACUAACAUGCUCCCUAAUAUCAGCUCGUAGCAUGUCAUGGUAGUGGGCCCUCCUCAUGUCCUCAUCACCCUCAUACUGAGGCACCAACAAAGCCCUCUCCUGGAACUUGGCGGUGAUCUCUGCCACAGUCUUCGUAGUCUGUCUCAUAUCCAAGAACUCCCUGGCCAGCUGCUGGAGCUCCACAGCUGGUGCAAACUCGGCCCUGAAUCAGGUCACAAAAUCUGACCACGUCAUAGCCUCAAUGGCUAGGGCUCCCAACGUAUCACCAAUCAACUCCCACCAAUCUCUGGCUCGAUCCCUCAAACAUCCCGCAGCGAAACGAACCUUCGACCCUUACGGGCAGAAGCUCGUUAGCUGCGCAGAUUCAAUAUUUGUGAUCCAUCUCCUAGCAGCAAUGGGGUCCUUCACCCCAUGGAAAUCUGGCGCACCACUCCCUCUGAAGUCCUUAAAGGACAGUGUGCACAUACUCGCCUGGCUAGACACCAAAUCACUCCUGAAUGAUCGGAGACGAUCCUCCAUCAGCUCGAUGAUCCCUUCCUUGGUCGACCCGAAGAUGAUCGGGUCAACUCAAGGAUACCUCUCGUGAUCUCCGAUGCGAUGGACUCGCGUAUCCCACCAUCCACCUGCUCGGAUCCUUCACCCGAGCUCGAACCUGAUCCUGACCCCGAGCCUCCCGCUCCAUGUCGCGUGGUCACUAUACUGAAAAUAAACAUACCAACAUCAGGAUCACACAUACUCUCGAGAAGUCUCACACACUCUCCAAGUCCCCUGUUUCCAUCUCAUCCCUCCUUGACUUGAGUACGGAUCCUCUUCUCUCAGUAGCACGGGCCCAUACUACCUUCCACAUCUAUCUGUACUUUCCUCAAGGAUUACUUCGACUUCACCGAGUCCCCUUUUUCGAUACCCUUUCCACUGAUCUCAUCCUAGAAUUUCCUAGGGCACUCUCCGACCUGCUCUCCACCAUCAGCUGCACCAGGAGUCCCUACCAACAUUCCCUAACUAGCUUGCGGAUAUUGUUACAUAUCCGCUUACUAAUUAGUUAAAGUUAGUCGGGACUCCUACAGCACAAAGCAAGCAGCAUUCGUGCAUUGAGAAACCACUUCAAGAAUAACCUAAUCAGGCUAUCCUACUGUUGACUAGACAUUCCUAGCAUACAGCUCAUACCACAGGCAUUCAAGGCAUCCUCCUAUAUCCUUAACCCUAGGCUAGCAUGCAGUUCUCAAAAUCAUAUAUCAGGCAUACAAGGCAUCCACCUAGAUCCUUAGCCCUAGUCUAGCAUGCAGUUCUCAGAAUCAUAUAUCACAUGACAUAACAUAACAAGUAUGGGUAUCUUGGGGAAAACUUACUUGAACUCGGUCAGUCGCACGCAUCACACACCUUGUUCUUUAUCAAAAUUCCUUAACUUAGAUUUUAGAAAAUUAUUUUCUCUGUGAAGAAAAUUUUAAAUCCCUCGGUUUGAGUCCAGACACCCCCGAGGGUGUGUCCGAAUCCCUCAAACCAGGGCUCUGAUACCAACUUGUAACAUCCCAAAAUUUGAGGCCAAAAAUUUUGUUUUUAAAUUAAGUAGAUAAUAAUUUAUAUUACCAAAACACUGUCACUAUUUCAUCAUUCAUAAAAUCAUAAAAUCAUGUCUCGAAAACCAUAUCAUCCGGAACAAUGAAAAUCAGAGUACAAUCCCAGAAAAUCCGAUGCGGAAACCAUGUGUGUGAUGCGCUGCUACGCCGCCGGCUCUUUCCCCUUGGACGAAGAGGUACUUGAAACCAAAACUAAAACUAUAAGCACAAAGCUUAGUGAGUUCCCCCAUCAUAACACACACCACAUAACACCAUCGGUAUCUUUCAAACGGUAACUGUCAUCGGUAUCUUUCAACCGGUAACCAUCAUCGGAAUCUUUCAACCGGUACACGCCAUCGGUAUCUUUCAACUGGUAACUGGGGAAUAUUUCACCCCCUAGCACUAGCAUACCGUAACUAGAGAUAAUCAUACAGUCAUGCAUAAGUGGGUAGGGACUGUUGGAUUAGUGUCUAAGGUUGUAACCAUAUUUGGUAAGUACUUGACCCGGUUGUGCAUGGUCCUUUUAGGUUGCCUUCACCAUAGCAACUUGACAGGAUGAUUUGUUAAGAGAGAAGAAAUAUUAUUGUUAAUAUAUUAUGAGAAUAAUAUAUUAAAGGAUUAAUAAUGUUAUUUGAUUAAUAUAAUUCAUAUAUUAAUUAAGAAUUAAUUUGGUGACUUAAAGAGGUUAAUUGAAUAAAGGGACAUAAACUGUCAAAUGUGUAAUAGUUGUGUUUUGGGCUAUGUAUCCUUAUGGAUAUGAGGGUGGACAAAAUUUAGAGUUUGGGAACCUUAAAAUCGUCCAAGCCUAUUAUCUAGGAGGAUCUUGGAUUGCUUAGGGCCUAAGUUAUUCAAUUAGGGUUAAAGGUGAAACCCUAGUAGCUCAUAGUAUAAAUAGAUCCCUAGGGUGAGGGAAAUCGCCACUCAUGCAAGGCAAGAAACCCUAGGGCUGAUUUCUCACCCUCCUCCCUCUCUCUCAAGAUCAUCUUCUUGCUAGUUGGUGGUUGUAAGCCAUUAGAGGAGUGAUAAUUGUGACUCUAAGCUCCAAGAAGAAGAAGAAGUAUCAAGCAAAUAAUCCAAGGUAUUGUUCUAGAUCCAAUUUCAUAUGAUUAGAUUCAAUUGUUUACAUUAGAUCUAGUAUUGUAAGUCUUGGAUUCAAUGCAUGUUCAGUUAGAGAAACCUAGAUCCAAGCAAUUAGGGUUUGCAUGUGCACAUAGGAAAAUUCUUAUGGCUCAAACCCAUCAGUGGUAUCAGAGCUUUGAUUGAUUUCUAUUGAAUUGAUGCAUUGGUUGAUUGCUUGUUGCUUGAAAAAUUCAAUUUUUGUGAUUCUGCCUGAUGAACACGGCGAGUUCCACUGUGGACUCGGCGAGUAGCUCCAAAUCGGCGAGUCCAUAGUGGGAACUCGGCGAGUUCGAGCAUCAGAAAGAGGGAGUUUUGGGAUUUCUUGUUGUUUUACUUGAGGAAACUUGCCUUAACUGUUNNNNNNNNNNNNNNNNNNNNNNNNNNNNNNNNNNNNNNNNNNNNNNNNNNNNNNNNNNNNNNNNNNNNNNNNNNNNNNNNNNNNNNNNNNNNNNNNNNNNNNNNNNNNNNNNNNNNNNNNNNNNNNNNNNNNNNNNNNNNNNNNNNNNNNNNNNNNNNNNNNNNNNNNNNNNNNNNNNNNNNNNNNNNNNNNNNNNNNNNNNNNNNNNNNNNNNNNNNNNNNNNNNNNNNNNNNNNNNNNNNNNNNNNNNNNNNNNNNNNNNNNNNNNNNNNNNNNNNNNNNNNNNNNNNNNNNNNNNNNNNNNNNNNNNNNNNNNNNNNNNNNNNNNNNNNNNNNNNNNNNNNNNNNNNNNNNNNNNNNNNNNNNNNNNNNNNNNNNNNNNNNNNNNNNNNNNNNNNNNNNNNNNNNNNNNNNNNNNNNNNNNNNNNNNNNNNNNNNNNNNNNNNNNNNNNNUUUAAUUUAGACAACUUAAAUUUCAAACCCUAGAUUUUAAAAGUUUUAAAAUACAACCCUAUACUAAUAUGAUAUUACUAGAAUAAUAUAUAUAUGUAUAACUAAAUGCUAAUCUUACCGUUAGUAGGCCUCAUUCACGAAGCCAGACUAUAAGGUGGGUAUAAGGUUGCUGCCUAUAAAAUGGCGCUUAAUGGGUGUACACUCACACCCACCGCUUGCUUGACUGGUGGAGGGUCGUUAGCCGAACGGGUAGGAUAGGGCAAACCUCUUCUCAUUAAUAAGUAUAAUGAAUCUAUUUAAAGUAACUAAACUAUUUUAUAAAAUUCCCAAUCUUAGUUACUUUAGGAAAAGUGAAUUGAUGCAAUCCCAUGAAAUUACACUUUGCACCCUUGUUUAGAUGUUAGUGGAGCGUGUGUGGUUAACCGGCACACUAAUUGGUUCUAAGCAAAGGUGGCAAAGGGUGAUUCAUUGUUUGUCAUAGUUCGGUGGAGCGUGUGUGGUUUACCGGCACAUCGAAUAGGAGAUUGUAACAAUGAAGGCACCAUGUAGAUUUGCAUGGUUAUUCACACCCGCUUUGUGAUCCUCGGUAUCCCAGUCACAAACUAGAGGGGCAUAUCGAGAUUUAAACAUGCCAUUGAAAAGUUCAAUGAAUCUCAAAAUCUAGGAAUUCUCAAUACAUUUAAAACUUAAAGAUUAUGUUUUUCGUGGUGAAGAAUUAGUGAAUCGUCAUUCACUUACCUCCAAAUUAUUUGCAUGUUGGAUUACGGUAUCCCUUUUCUAAUGUGUAAAUAAUGUUGUUGGGUCCUAACCCUAAAUUUCCAUUUUGGGUGUUGAUUAGGGACUUAACUCUAAUCAACUUUGUUCCUUUCUAUUUGUAGAUGGCUAAUGCAAACAACGCUGCUACUAGCUCAUUCACGCUAAUGAGCCUUUGUCAAAAAGUGACUUUCGAUGGAUUGAACUUUAGCGAAUGGAUAAGAUACAUUCGCACAAUCGCUCCUUACGAGGACAAGGAGUAUGUUCUCGAUGAGAAGCUUGAAAAGAUCAAUCUAGAAACUGCCACUCCCGAAGAAAUGGUUGUGUUUGAGACACAUGAGCAUGAUGCAAUGAAAUUCCAUUGCAUCAUGAUAGCCACAAUGAACUCCGAAUUCCAAAAGUCCUAUGAGGACAUGUAUCCUGAUGAGAUGCAUCUAGACUUGAUGGAGAGAUAUCACCAAAGCGCGAGGCAAGAGUGCUACGAGAUCAUAACGAAUAUGAUCACUGCUAAAAUGGAAAGUGGAGAGUCUCUAACCGUGCACUUGCAGAAGAUGCAAAGGUAUGUCGAUCAUCUUCGCAAGUUGAAUGUCAACUUUGGGGAAGAUUUGGCUAUCGACAUUGUUCUUCACUCCUUGCCCUCAUGCUACAAUCAAUUUAGGAUGACCUACCACAUGAACAAGGAAGAGGUCACCCUAAGCAAACUCCAAGGUCUCCUAAGGACUGCUGAGAGCAACCUAGAGGACAAGUCUGUUGCACCAACUCCCAAUCCGUCUGCUGCUUCUGUUUUGGCUAUUGGGCAGGGAAGGGGCAAGAAGAGGAAGGCUUCUUCGAAGAACCACCGCAAGGGAAAGUCCCAAGAUGGUUCCUCUUCUAGUGGGACCAACGUUGAUCCUGCUAAACCCAACCCUAACCCAAAAGAGGCAGAGUGCCAUCAUUGCCACAAAAUAGGGCAUUGGAAGAGAAGUUGCCCGGAAUAUCUACAAGCCAUCAAGGAUGGAAAGAUCAAGCCAUCUUUUGCAGGUAUAUACACAAUUAAAUCUAAUGAUUCAUCCCAUGCUAUUUCUUGGGUUCUUGAUACAGGGUGUGGUUACCACAUUUGUUCUGAUUUGCAGGGACUAGGAAGAAAUAGGGAUGUGGAGCUUGGAAGAAUAAAUCUAAUCAUGGGGAACAGAAGAUCGUCGCAUGUUACCAAGAUUGGAGUGUAUUCUUUAGUGCUUAGUAAUGGAUUGAAUUUAGAUUUAAAUAAUUGUUGCUACUCGCCAGAUAUGGCAAGAAACAUCAUUUCUUUUCAUGGUUUAUUUAGACAAGGAUUUAGAUAUUCGUUUAAUAAUGAGAAUGGUUCGAUUUAUGCUUAUCUAAAUGGUGUUUUAUAUUUUGAAGCAAUGCCUUGUAAUGGAAUUUAUGAAACUGUUAUGGUUGUAGAUAACCUAGGAAAUGAUGUGUUGUGUAUGGAUUCUUCCAAUAGUAUGGAUAGAGCAUCCUUGUGGCAUUGUCGUCUUGGACAUGUCAACAAGAAGCGCAUAGCCCAACUCCAAAAGGAUGGAGUGUUGGAGUCAUUCGACCUUAGGGAAGAUGACACGUGCGAAUCUUGUUUACUUGGAAAGAUGACCAAGUCACCCUUCACUGGCACUUGUGAGAGGGGUGAGGGUUUAUUGGAUCUCAUACANNNNNNNNNNNNNNNNNNNNNNNNNNNNNNNNNNNNNNNNNNNNNNNNNNNNNNNNNNNNNNNNNNNNNNNNNNNNNNNNNNNNNNNNNNNNNNNNNNNNNNNNNNNNNNNNNNNNNNNNNNNNNNNNNNNNNNNNNNNNNNNNNNNNNNNNNNNNNNNNNNNNNNNNNNNNNNNNNNNNNNNNNNNNNNNNNNNNNNNNNNNNNNNNNNNNNNNNNNNNNNNNNNNNNNNNNNNNNNNNNNNNNNNNNNNNNNNNNNNNNNNNNNNNNNNNNNNNNNNNNNNNNNNNNNNNNNNNNNNNNNNNNNNNNNNNNNNNNNNNNNNNNNNNNNNNNNNNNNNNNNNNNNNNNNNNNNNNNNNNNNNNNNNNNNNNNNNNNNNNNNNNNNNNNNNNNNNNNNNNNNNNNNNNNNNNNNNNNNNNNNNNNNNNNNNNNNNNNNNNNNNNNNNNNNNNNNNNNNNNNNNNNNNNNNNNNNNNNNNNNNNNNNNNNNNNNNNNNNNNNNNNNNNNNNNNNNNNNNNNNNNNNNNNNNNNNNNNNNNNNNNNNNNNNNNNNNNNNNNNNNNNNNNNNNNNNNNNNNNNNNNNNNNNNNNNNNNNNNNNNNNNNNNNNNNNNNNNNNNNNNNNNNNNNNNNNNNNNNNNNNNNNNNNNNNNNNNNNNNNNNNNNNNNNNNNNNNNNNNNNNNNNNNNNNNNNNNNNNNNNNNNNNNNNNNNNNNNNNNNNNNNNNNNNNNNNNNNNNNNNNNNNNNNNNNNNNNNNNNNNNNNNNNNNNNNNNNNNNNNNNNNNNNNNNNNNNNNNNNNNNNNNNNNNNNNNNNNNNNNNNNNNNNNNNNNNNNNNNNNNNNNNNNNNNNNNNNNNNNNNNNNNNNNNNNNNNNNNNNNNNNNNNNNNNNNNNNNNNNNNNNNNNNNNNNNNNNNNNNNNNNNNNNNNNNNNNNNNNNNNNNNNNNNNNNNNNNNNNNNNNNNNNNNNNNNNNNNNNNNNNNNNNNNNNNNNNNNNNNNNNNNNNNNNNNNNNNNNNNNNNNNNNNNNNNNUUUUGGGAAUAAGGAUAGUGAGAGAAAGAAGUAAGAGACUAAUAGGACUUAGUCAGAAUACUUACUUAGAUAAAGUACUAAAACGUUUUAGUAUGGAAAAAUCGAAGAAGGGAGAACUACCGAUACAAAGUAAUGCCAAGUUAAGUAAGACUCAAAGUCCGAGUACCGAAGCCGAGAUAGCUGAGAUGAGCCGAGUACCUUACGCUUCUGUAGUUGGCUCGAUCAUGUACGCUAUGACUUGCACUCACCCUGAUGUGGCCUUUGCUUUGAGCAUAGUCAGUAGAUAUCAAGGGAACCCUAGCAGAGCUCACUGGAUUGCGGUAAAGAAUAUACUUAAGUACCUUCGGAGGACCAAAGAUUGGUUCUUAGUCCUCGGAGGGAGUGAUGACUUAAAGGUGCGAGGAUAUAGUGACGCCANNNNNNNNNNNNNNNNNNNNNNNNNNNNNNNNNNNNNNNNNNNNNNNNNNNNNNNNNNNNNNNNNNNNNNNNNNNNNNNNNNNNNNNNNNNNNNNNNNNNNNNNNNNNNNNNNNNNNNNNNNNNNNNNNNNNNNNNNNNNNNNNNNNNNNNNNNNNNNNNNNNNNNNNNNNNNNNNNNNNNNNNNNNNNNNNNNNNNNNNNNNNNNNNNNNNNNNNNNNNNNNNNNNNNNNNNNNNNNNNNNNNNNNNNNNNNNNNNNNNNNNNNNNNNNNNNNNNNNNNNNNNNNNNNNNNNNNNNNNNNNNNNNNNNNNNNNNNNNNNNNNNNNNNNNNNNNNNNNNNNNNNNNNNNNNNNNNNNNNNNNNNNNNNNNNNNNNNNNNNNNNNNNNNNNNNNNNNNNNNNNNNNNNNNNNNNNNNNNNNNNNNNNNNNNNNNNNNNNNNNNNNNNNNNNNNNNNNNNNNNNNNNNNNNNNNNNNNNNNNNNNNNNNNNNNNNNNNNNNNNNNNNNNNNNNNNNNNNNNNNNNNNNNNNNNNNNNNNNNNNNNNNNNNNNNNNNNNNNNNNNNNNNNNNNNNNNNNNNNNNNNNNNNNNNNNNNNNNNNNNNNNNNNNNNNNNNNNNNNNNNNNNNNNNNNNNNNNNNNNNNNNNNNNNNNNNNNNNNNNNNNNNNNNNNNNNNNNNNNNNNNNNNNNNNNNNNNNNNNNNNNNNNNNNNNNNNNNNNNNNNNNNNNNNNNNNNNNNNNNNNNNNNNNNNNNNNNNNNNNNNNNNNNNNNNNNNNNNNNNNNNNNNNNNNNNNNNNNNNNNNNNNNNNNNNNNNNNNNNNNNNNNNNNNNNNNNNNNNNNNNNNNNNNNNNNNNNNNNNNNNNNNNNNNNNNNNNNNNNNNNNNNNNNNNNNNNNNNNNNNNNNNNNNNNNNNNNNNNNNNNNNNNNNNNNNNNNNNNNNNNNNNNNNNNNNNNNNNNNNNNNNNNNNNNNNNNNNNNNNNNNNNNNNNNNNNNNNNNNNNNNNNNNNNNNNNNNNNNNNNNNNNNNNNNNNNNNNNNNNNNNNNNNNNNNNNNNNNNNNNNNNNNNNNNNNNNNNNNNGAAGUUUAUCUGUUACUUUUAUCCUAAGAGGGUAAAAGCGAUAUCAGGGCCCCUCGAUGAUUUGAUUUGACUUAUGUGUCGGGCCCGGUCAGGACUGAAUUGAUGUGUUCAAUUAAGUUCUAUGUCAAAUGAAUCUGAGAUCGAGAAACCAACUGCUGGACAAUAAGUUCCAUAAGAUUGUCCACAUAAUAUCUAAACAGAGGACUGUACGAUCCCUUAUCUAAAGGACAUGAGAUUGAUAAGAUCAGAGUUGACAGCGUCUUUGAGAGCUACGAUUGCUAAUCGGAUUGUGUUUGCAUAUAUAGUUACUAGACUUAUCCAAGUGGGAGACUGUUGGAUUAGUGUCUAAGGCUGUAACUAUAUUUGGUAAGUACUUGACCCGGUUGUGCAUGGUCCUUUUGGGUUGCCUUCACCAUAGCAACUUGACAGGAUGAUUUGUUAAGAGAGAAGAGAUAUUAUUGUUAAUAUAUUAUGAGAAUAAUAUAUUAAAGGAUUAAUAAUGUUAUUUGAUUAAUAUAAGUCAUAUAUUAAUUAAGAAUUAAUUUGGUGACUUAAAGAGGUUAAUUGAAUAAAGGGGCAUAAACUGUCAAAUGUGUGAUAGUUGUGUUUUGGGCUAUGUAUCCUUAUGGAUAUGAGGGUGGACGAAAUUUAGGGUUUGGGAACCUUAAAAUCGUCCAAGCCUAAUAUCUAGGAGGAUCUUGGAUUGCUUAGGGCCUAAGUUAUUCAAUUAGGGUUAAAGGUGAAACCCUAGUAGCUCAUAGUAUAAAUAGACCCCUAGGGUGAGGGAAAUCGCCACUCAUGCAAGGCAAGAAACCCUAGGGCCGAUUUCUGACCCUCCUCCCUCUCUCUUAAGAUCAUCUUCUUGCUAGUUGGUGUUUGUAAGCCAUUAGAGGAGUGACAAUUGUGACUCUAAGCUCCAAGAAGAAGAAGUAUCAAGCAAGUAAUCCAAGGUAUUGUUCUAGAUCCAAUUUCAUAUGAUUAGAUUCAAUUGUUUACAUUAGAUCUAGUAUUGUAAGUCUUGGAUUCAAUGCAUGUUCAAUUAGAGAAACCUAGAUCCAAGCAAUUAGCGUUUGCAUGUGCACAUAGGAAAGUUCUUAUGGCUCAAACCCAUCAGGGACAACUAAUCCCUUCUACACACAUAGCACAUCAUACAUGUAUAUCUCGUGACCAUAACACAUUAACAUACCAAGAUAAUUAUCACGAAGACAAUCAUCUCAUACAUAACUACUUACUGGUGGGACAGCAUUGGUGCCCUACUAGAAGGUAACUCACCUCGUAGUGGUAGCUGCCGAUAUGUGCGGGAACUCUCUGCCUGCUGUUGCUACUCUGGAAAUCCUCCGGCUAUAACUCCCACAAAACACCCAAUCAGAGUCUGAUAACUACUCUUAUGGAGGGAUGAAUAUUCUACCCCUAACCUAGUCAAAGUCAAGCCAAAGUCAACUUCCAGCUGAACUGACUCACCGAGUUGGGCCGCCAACUCGUCGAUUCCUUAUCCAUCUAAUUGUCCUCAUUCCCGUCCCUACUCGUCAAGUUAGGCAAUGACUCGACGAGUUAUCCUCCUAUACAUCGAAUGAUCCUUCAUCCGACUCGUCGAGUUGUAUGAACAACUCGUUGAGUUCAUCUUCAUCUGAAGAACAAGCCUUGUCCUUGACUCGCCGAGUUGUAUGAACAACUCGUCGAGUUCAUCUUCAUGUGUUGGGAGAUUUCCUUGGACUCGACGAUUCUGUUCAUGCACUCAACGAGUCCCAUGAACUCCAGGUCUAAGGCUAAGUCCAAUACGUCUAAACAGCUAUGGGACUCCCUUUUCUAACAACUGACCAUCGCAGAAGGGUUUAAGAUGGCUGAAAGCGCACCGACUCGCCGAGUCCCAAGAACGACUCGUCGAGUCCAACCUUGACCAUUUCUAUACAGUCGUACUAAAAGGGAUUUAACACACCAAAACCAUAGAUUUGGCCUCCUAAUGUCCAUUUUAUACGUAAAGUUCCAAACUUGAUGCACAUGCAUGGGGUUUUUAGCUCAAAAGUCCAUAGAAGGUGAUCUACAAUGUACAUGGGGCUCUCAUGCACAUAAAGUUGGCACCUUUAUGCCAUGAGAACCCUCCACUGACUCAGAUCUAGAAGUAGAUCCCCAUGAAUCACCUUACAAAACCAAAAAUGACUUAAGAAGCCCUAAAUGCACCAUGACCGUAGGCCCUGAAGAUGAAAAACCAAAAAAGGAACACCAAAACAGGGGGCAUUUACCUUGCUUAAGCUGAAGAUGAAGUAAGAUCUCUGGAUCUACAAGUCCUAACUCAAAAUCCCAAGCUUCCUCUUUCCUUCCAAGCUUCACAAACCAACCAGGAAGACCAAAAUGGACUUAACACACACACGAACGGCUAGGGUUUCGAUAUCCAGCUCUAAGGGAGUGUUAGGGACAAGGGAGACUGAGUUAAGGUGUUUAUAUAGGGUGCAAACCAUCAAAUUUAGGGUUUUACUCGCACAACGCCUACUCGCCGAUUCCGUCUUCCGACUCGUCGAGUAGGUCACUUAAGAUGUCUGCGGACUCGUCUCUACUCGACGAGUGGGUCCUACGACUCGUCGAGUCCCAGGGAAAAACAUAAAAAUGCUUGAAUUAAAUGUGUACCAGGAAUUAGGUGCUACAGUUACGUUAAAUGAAAAGUCAUUUGCUAGAACUGAAGCACUGUCCGAGUUUCAAGUCAUCACUUUAACAAGUGAGUGCAUAGUUACUUUCAUCUUACACAUAGAUAUGAAGUUUCUAAUUAAUUAAUUGCUAUAUGUGCUUAUGUGCAAAGAUGUUAUAUGUUAGAUAAAAUAUUAUAAAGAUAACUUAUAUGAUUUUGUAACAACCUAAGAACCUUAAGGUGAAAUUUCAUUUUUAAUUCAGCAUAUAAACACCAUUAUUUCUUAUUGACCACUUAAAAGCACAUCAAAAUGAAAAUAGUUAUCAAAGUACAAUCCCAAAAUCAAAAAAUUUGGAAACAUGGGUGGAUGCACUGCGAACAAUGGGUAACAUACUAUUUUACACUUUUCAUAUACUGGGCCCAACAAGGCAAGUCCAAACCUAAAAUGAAUCAGGGACCAAAAAUGGCCCAAAAGCCAUUCAGGUGCGUACGCCCCAACAUACCAACCUGGUACGCCCAACAUACGAUGUGAAGCCCAAAUUCAUCUCUAAACCUCUUAAUGCCUUAAGACAACAUGUAUAACUUCCAGAUCUGAUUCUUAUGGGACGUCCUGAGUCAUAAAGUUUCUGACUGUAUGACUUUGCAUGGCUUAAUUGUGCCUAAACCAAAUCCCUAAAUCUCUAACUUCAACAAAUGACCACUAACUCAUGCAUGGAAGGAAUUGAAGGACCAAGAUCACAUUUUUAUGGUUCUUAAUAACUCCAUAAUGGAUAAAGUUUCCAACUUUAUCCAUUAGAAUGGUCCAAACAACCAAGAUCUAGUCUUUAAGUUCUGAGGGACCAAAAAUGCAUCUUUUUCAACUUAAUCCAUUAAGCCCAAGUACCCAAACUUAAUAUAUGAAUCAAUAUGAUGUUUAGAUGGAUAAAGUUUCCAACUUUAUCCAAAACAAGGUCACAAACUUUCAAGAUAUUUAUGCACUAAAGUGACCAAAAACUCAUAACACCUAAUACUAGCUAGAUUUAUAAAAUGUAUCUUCAAGAUUCAAGCUUUAUACCUCCAGAAGAAAGAUCAAGGUGAACAAGGUCUGGAUCUACAAGCUCCAUGACAACCAACACUUCUCCAAGGAGUUCUUCUUCUUCCAAAUGAACCAAAAUCCACCAAAAAUCACUCAAAGGCUCAAUAUCCUUCCAAAUGGAGCUAGGUUUUGAUUUUAGGGUUAGAGGGGAUGGUAGCUGAAGAUAAUGAGGGUUGGAAAUGAGUUAAGGUCUUUAAAUAGGGAACAAGACCCAAAAUUUGGGUUUGCAUCCGACAUGCAUAUGCCCAAUGUACUGGGUUGGUCAUCUACGAUCAUUCUUGUCUAGUACGCCCACCGUACGUCAUGUGCGCCCGUCAUACUCAGCUUACCCCAAAAUCUUUGUAACUUCAAGCAGUCAUAACUUCUUCGUUCCAAAUCCGUUUUCGACGAUCCUUACAUCCACAGAAAGGUAUUGAGGAGCUCUACAACCCUAUCUAAUUAUUUUUGACUUAAAACACAUUGAACUAAAAUCCUUAAUUCAUAAGAAGUCUGAAAUGCCACUUUUCCAAUUUUACCCUUUGACUCCAAAGCACAUGCGAACUCUUGGAUCACAUAAUCUAGAUUACCCACAUCCAAAUGGGUCUAAACCUCCCUUUCCCCAAAGCCCUAAGCCUUAUGAUACUUGAUCUUUGAGUCACAGCUCCAAAUUAUGAAACAACUCGAAACAAGGUGUUACAACUCUCCCUCACUUAAAUUAGAUUUCUUCCUCGAAAUCACUCCUUGCUACUUUCCACGCAUUUAGAUGAUCCAACCAAUUCUUCUAGGUCCCUGAUAAAAAUCGACCCUAACAUACGAUGGCUUUCCAAUAAUCGAAGCCAUCCUUAGUCGAACUUCACAUACUAACAGCAAACGAAUCCUUGCUCCCGCUAACCUUAACCAAUGAAGGAUAACCAUCACUACUAAACUCAAAUACAAGAAUCUAAUACCUUCUGACUUCCUGACAUACAAAGCCAUUCUGAAUCACUACCAAUACGACUCCACCUUGAAACCCAAAUUGAACGUAAACCCUUCCAACCCUGGAUUAUUUUGUUGCUUCCACUAGGAAAUAGAAUCCCUGACAAUUAAUUGCUCAGCCUGUGACAACAAUGCUCACCUUCUCACCAAAGGAACCUCCAUUAUGCCCUCACGACCAUAAAUAAUCCGCAAAGUGGCUAGAGCAGGUUCCCUCACUGCUCCCCUCUUCAACUACAGACAGUCGACCUUCUUGUGGCCACUUGGUUGUAGUGAAAACAUAACAAACUUUUUAUGGGGACAAUCUCUGCUUACACGACCAAUCCUACCACAUUGGUAGCAACCCAUACCCCUAGAUCGACAAACUCCAUCACAAAGCUUCUUGCACGUGAUGUGCUGACCUCGACCCUGUUGGCCCCUCAACCGCUGAUCAAAAGUCUUGGGUCUUUUUUUAGGACCCCCAACUGUUUGUACCUACUCUAGCUUCCUCUUCCCCAUGUGCUCCAAAUCAAUCUCCUACUAUCGGGCUCUAGCAAUCAUGUCGUCCAAAGUCUGAAAAGCUAAAAAUAUCACAAACUCCCUAAUAUCGUCUCGCAGCAUAACAUGGUACAUUGUCUUCUUCAUCUCCUCAUCCACGAGAUACUGCGGAACCAAAAGAGCCCUCUCCCUAAACAUGGUGGUGAUCUCUGCCAUAGUCUCAGUCGUCUAACGAAGGUCCUGAAACUCCCUUGCCAACUGCUCAAUAGCUGGUGAAAACUCCGCCCUAGACCGGGUUACAAACUCAUCCCAAGUCAUCGUCUCAAUGGAUUCACAUCCCAAAGCGAAAUCUACGUCCUCCCACCAAUCUUGAGCUCUUUCUUUCAGAAGACAGGAAACAAAUCUGACCUUCGACCCCUCGGGGCAGAAACUCGUCCGGAAAGUGUUCACCAUAUCCGCUUACCACCUCCUACUAGUAUUGGCGUCAUUCUCCUCAAAGAACUCGAGAGCUCCACAAGCACAAAAUUCAUGGAAGGGAAGAGUGAAAGCUCCUACAAUAGCCAUAAUCUUAGUGCAUAACGUGUCUAGACGCUCAUCACCAUUCUGAAAAGCAAUCAUACAAAUGAUCAGAACAUACCCAAAAAAAUCCUCACCCCACAUGCUUCUUAGAUUCUCCAUGACUCUCCUUGAUUCGAGUAUGAAUCUUGUACUUUUAGUAGUACGAGACCAAUACUACCUUCCACACCUAUCCAUAUCUUCCUCAAGAAUCAUCCAGAAUCCUAUAAGUCACCUUCUCAAACUGGUACUCCAAGUACUCGCUAAACAACGCAUCUAUACCUAUUAAAAUACUUCCUAGGCUCUGUACUUAAUCAGUUAUGACCAUAGCUAUACUCGUAGAUCUAGAUUCCAUAAAGGCUCAUACUCAAUAAAGCUCGUGACUUUAAGCCUUUGCAUGGCUGAUCAAGUCCCAAACACAAAAACUCUCACUCUUUACUACUCAAAAUUCUCAUAUCUCAUGUUCCUCAACCCGCCAUCAGUUGUUGAAGAACUCCUACCAAUGUGAACCACCUAUCUCAUGAAUACAAUCACAUGCUAAAAAGCUAAGAUAAUCCUUCGAAUAAAAGACUUACCCCUACAACGGUUGGACUCAGACAAUAACUGUACAAAAGGGUCAAAUGAAUUACUCUGAGAUUAUUUAACCUAUGCAGCAUAUCAAUUAACAUAUUCACUUAAUAGUUAAUUCACAUCAUCGAGAGUCCUACAAAUCACAAAGCAAGUAACAUUCGUGCAAUAACACUCCAAGACACAAACCAAAUAGAGGACAUCUCAAGCUCACUUGCUACCAAUAAAGAUUUCAAAUCUAAUACAACAUCCAAGUCCUCUUAGGCUACAAGGCAUCACAUAUAAGGCCAAUCCAUCCAAUCAUCUAAAGUCCAUACUAGCAUGCAAUUUUAAAAGCUCAAAUAAUCAAGCAUAAUAAGGCAUCUCUCCUAGAAUGAAAUUCUGAGCAGAUCCUUAGCCGUAAUCUAGCAUGCAAUUCUCAUAACAUAUAUAACAUAACAAACAUGUAUGGGUAUUUCGGGAAUCAUUUACUUGAGCUCGGUUGAAUUCAUGCAUCAUACCCCUUUUUCUUUAAAAUAUUUUUAGAAAAGUCAUUCUCUUUCAAAAAGAUUAUCAAUUCAUCAGUUUGAGUUCAAACACACCUAGAAGUGUGCCUGAAUCCUUCAAACCAAUGCUCUGAUACCAACUUGUAAUGACCCAAAAACCAUAAGGUAAAAAUUUCAUGUUUAAUUCAACAUAUAAACACCAUUAUUUCUUGUCAACCAUUCCAAAGCACAUCAAUGUGAAAAUAUGUAUCAAAGCACAAUCCCAAAAUCAUAAAAUGUAGAAACAUGGGUGGAUCUACUGCAAUCAAGUCGAGCCUUUCCCUUUCAAACCGGAAGUACCUAAAACCAUAAACAUAAACUGUAAGCACAAAUCUUAGUGAGUUCCCCAAAAUACCACAUAACAUAAAUAUAUGUCAGCUCAAGGUUGUACCUGGUCUAUUUCACCCCUGAGUCUAUUUAAACUCAUAUGUUAGCUCAAGGUUGUACCGAGUGUAUUUCACCCCCGAGUCUAUUUCAACUCAAUCGAUAAUUUUGAAUCGUACGGGUCUAUUUCACCCCAUAUACAUGUAACAAAUAGGCAUACAAACAUACAACAAGAGUCAUAAAGACAACAAGCAUAUAACAUAUCCUAGUGGGUCUUCCUUGGUACCUUCGACCCACGGGUACAGUGAGGAGACUCACUUCAAUCUAGAUAUAACCGAAUCACACGUGCUGUAGCUAUUGGGCUCCUCACACUAAACACAUCCAAAUUGUACUUAAUUGAUAAUUAAGAAAAUUUCCCAUAAACCAAGUUCCAAUUCAUAUCUCCUUAUAAAAAUGGGUAAAAGACUAUUUAACCCUUCUUAUACUUGGCCCAACAAGGCAAGGCCUAAACCCAAAAUGACUCAAGGCCCAAAACCCAUUCAGAUGCAUAUGCCCAGAGUAUGAUGUUGAAGCCCAAAUUCAUUUCCAAACCUCUUAAUGCCUUAAGACAACAUGCAUAACUUCCAUAUUUGAUUCUUAUGGGACAUCUUGAGUCAUAAAUUUCCUGACUUUAUGACUUUGCAUGGCUUAAUUGUGCCUAAAACAAAGCCUUAAAUCUCUAACUUCAACAAAAGACCACCAAAUCAUGUAUAGAUGGAAUAUAAGGACCAAGAUCACAUUUUUAUGGUUCCUAAUAACUCCGUAAUGGAUAAAUUUUCCAAAUUUAUCCAUUAGAAUGGUCCAAACAACCAAGAUAUAGUCUUUAAGUCUCAAGGGACCAAAAGUGUAUCUUUUUCAACUUAAUCCAGUAAGUUUAAGUCCCCAACCUUUAGAUCUAAAUCAUUAUGAUGUUUAGAUAGAUAAAGUUUCCAACUUUAUCCAUAAUAAGGUCACAAACUUUCAAGAUCUAAACUUUAUGCACUAAAGUGACCAAAAACUCAUAACACCCAAGACUAGCUAGAUCUAUCAAAUGCAUCAUCAAGAUUCAUCCUUUAUACCUCUAGAAGAAAGAACAAGGUGAAAAAGGCUAGCUCUACAAGCUCUAUGACAACCAACACUUCUCCAAGGAGUUCUUCUUCUUCUAAAUGCACAAAAUCCACCAAAAAUAACUCAAAGGCUCAAUAUCCUUUCAAAUGGGGCUAGGGUUUGGAUUUUAGGGUUAGAGGGGAUGAAGGCUAAAGAUAAGGAGGGUUUGAAAUGAGUUAAGCUCUUUAAAUAGGGUAAAAAAAACCCAAAAUUAAGGUUUUAAUCUAACAUGCAUACACCCAACGUACUAGGUUGGUCAUCCACGAUCAUUCCUGCCUAGUACACCCAACGUACUCUGCUUACUCGAAAAUCUUCGUAACUUCAACGGGUCAUAACUUCUUCAUUCCAACUCCGUUUUCAAUGAUCCUUAUAUCCACAAAAAGGUAUUGAGGAGAUCUAUAACCCUAUCUAAUUACUUAUGAAUUAAAACACAUCAAACUAAAAUCCUUAAUUCACAAAAGAAGUAUGAAACACCACUUUUCCCAUUUUACCCUUUGACUCCAAAGCACAACUGUACUCUUGGAUCACAUAAUCUACAUUACCUACAUCCAAAUGGGUCUAAAACUCUCUUUCCCUAAUGCCUGAAGCCUUAUGAUACUUGAUCUUCAGGUCACAGCCCCAAAUUAUGAAACGACUCGAAAUUGGGUGUUACAAAUUUAUAAUGCAUAUGUAUUUUUAUAGAUAUAAUAUAUUGGGUAACGAAGGGUAGUGAAAGAUUCUAUAGUACGAUAAAAGAUAGGAUGUCCUAAUAUAUAGAUAAGGAUAGGAUUCCAUGACUUUAGGAAUGGUACUAGUAUACCAACGAUGUAGUCACUUAGAAAAACAUAGGUGACAACUACCAGACUAAUUGAUGAUAGUCCCGUAUAAUAUUGGCAGCUAUGGACUUAGUGCCUAAUAGAUAAAUAAUGACAUCUAUGGACUUAGUGUCUAAUAGAUAAACAUUGAUAGAUAUGGACUUAGUGCCUAAUAGAUAAAUAAUGGUAUUUAUGGACUUAGUGCCUAAUAGAUAAACACUGCCAACUAUGGACUUAGUGCCUAUUAGAUAAACACUGGCCACUACGGACUUAGUGUCUAUUAGAUAAACAUUGGCAGCUAUGGACUUAGUGCCUAAUAGAUAAACAUUGGCAACUAUGGACUUAGUGCCUAUCAAAUAAACCCUUGUGGCGAUGGGCUUCAUGCCUAUUCCUUAGGACAAAUCCCUAGGAAUAAAUAUAGAAGAAAAAACUACUGGCACGUAUCAUGGAGGAAUCCCUGAACUAGUACUGUCAACAUAGAUGAUCCUUAGGGCAGAUCCUAAAGAAUAAAAGAAGAUAAUGGGGAUGAGAAUUAGGUUAAUUUUUUGAUGAUUAAACAUAUUGAUUAUAUUAUUGUGGGUUGAAAAACCUAAUCACUCAACUUGACCCACUCAGUUUAUUGUAUCACAUGUAGCGAUAUAAAAAAUACAUUAUGCUGAGAUAUUCGAGGAGUAUUAGGCCACUAGUUUAAUUACUAUAAGGCUUGUAAUAUUUCUUUAUGCUUAUGUUUCUGUAUUGACGAUGACAUCCCAAUGUUUUAAUAUAAAUCAAAUAAAUUUCUUCAGAAAUGCUUUGACAAUAUAAUUAUCAUGUUUUUGGGAACAAAUUUCGCAAUAUUAUUCCUCAAAAAGGAUACUCCAAUUUUAAUUAAGCAUAAACAAAUCGAUCUUUUUCUGGCCAUGAAAUUGGGGAUGCCACAGUCGCUAAAUACAAUUGCUAAUACAAAUUCGAAUAACCAGUAAAUAGUGUUUUCCAAAAACACUGCCAAACUCUGAUUAGACGUUAGUCCUAAGAUAAGUGAUCAUCUAUCCCUCCUUUCUACAAGAUACUACACCAACGUAUGUCGUAAUUGGGUGUUAUAUAGCCGAGCACUUUAGAUGUCGGUAACGAAUCAUCGGGCAAUCGACUUAAUGACUAAACUUGUUAAAAUGUUUCAUGUCAAUGCUCUUAGCACGCAUAUCAUGUCUUCCUUUGGUCAUCACUAUUGUGAAUGAAUCAUCAAAAAGAUAUUCACCUCACAACUAGAUCUCCAUGCUCAACAUUUUCUUAGGUGUAGUGGAAUUCCUCCUUUUAUGCAUUGACCUUUUGUGAUAUCAAGAAUCCUUAGUCAACAUGAAUGUACUUUCAAAUAAUGUUUUGAAUGGAAGUUUGUUACUCAAAACAAAUCAAAUGUCAACUAUGAAGUUUUUCUAAUGUAGGUACGCUCCUUGGAUACUUCACUUGCACUAAUGUGGUCUUAACCAUAUUGUCAAAUCUAGCGUCAUCUCCUAUAUGAAACCUUUCACGUUACAACUUAAAAUGAAUAUCCAUUUAGUCAUCUCUAAAAUUCAUGUCACUAUAACUCUUCUUGAUCAUGUCUCUACUGUCUACAAGCAACCAUUUCUUACUAUCUUUCAAUACCUCGGAACGCUCUUGAAUAUUAUCUAGCGAUCCAGUCAUGCCAAUUUCUGAUCUUAUCUCACGAUGCUCAAAACAUCUGAGACAUCAGAAUAAUCACAAGUCAUAGCAUUCAUGAUUGAUCCUAUACUAGAAGCAUAUGGGACUGAACUCAUCCUAUCAUUUAAUGACUAGUACAAAAGAACAUUUGAGAUUCAUUUAAUUCCUUGCUAUGAACAAUCCAUUUGGAAUUUUCAUGUUGAAACCUUCCAACACAUUGUGCUUUUACUGAAUCGUAUUAAUCAUUUCAUUAUAUACUUUUAGAUCCAGAGACCAAGUAUCAAUGUCAUUUAUCCAUGUCCAUCAUAGCGAAAGAAUUCUCGAGCUUUUGCACUCUGCAACUUAGAGACAAUGUUUCUUAUGAGUGAUAUUGUCAACAUGAAAUAUUAGGAAGACAAUGACACUCCCACAAGAUUUGACAUGUACUCAAGACUCAUAUAUACUUAUAGAAAGACAAAAAUCUUGACUUCCUUGUGGAAUAAUAGAUUCAUGCUACACAAUGCUUGUCUAAAUCUACAAAUAGAUUUUUCAAGCUUACACGCCUUAUUUAGAUACUUUGUAUGUUUAAAUCCUUUCUGAAUAUGUCAUACAUCCUUUGAAAGUUUCCUUUUAAGGAAAGUCAUUUAAACAUCCACUUUACCAUAUCUUAUAUCAAAGAAGGCAACAAUGGUAACAAAUAACCAAAUAUACAUUUCUCAGCUACUGUGAGAAUGUUUCCUAACAAUCAAUUUCUUGAGUCCGAGCGAAAACCAUUUCUACCAUACUAGCUUUGAAUGUGUGUACAUUCCUAUCCAUCUUAGUCUUCUCAUUAUAGACCUAAUAAUAACCCAUUGUCAUAUGACUAGGCUUUCCAUAAACAAGUUUCAAUAUUAGUUAUCCUUCAUGGACAUAAUUUUGCUAUCCGUAGACACCUCUAAUGGUAGCCAUAGGGCCCACCAUUGCUUCUUAGUAGCUAUUAGGCUUAUCUAAAUUGAUUAAUGUUUUAUUACUAAUCAAUGUAUCUCCUUCCACAGUUAGAUGAAACUCAUAAAAAUUAGGAGGUGCUCUAACUCUAUUAUAUCUUGUGAAGAGAUAAGGCAAUGUCAUUUGACUCAACCGGUUUAUCAACCUCAGGUUGAGAACUAAUGCCAACUAUGGGUUCAUUGUCAGUCAUAUCUUGAACUUCUUCAAGAUCAAUAUGACUCUCGUUGACUUCUUGAUAUAUUUAUGUUAUUUCUCUCAAGGAGUAUUCCUUCGAGCUAUAAUCACAAAUAUCGAAAGUCUUUACUGAAUGUUCGACAAUGUAACACUUCUCAGAUCUCGAUUCAAGUUGGUCAUUGGUUUUUCGUCUAACGAAAUACCUCACAACAAAAGAUCUAAAUAUGAGGGAACUUUCCAACUCCAUAUUUCAUGAGGUGUUUUCAAACCUACUUAGUUGGAUACAAGGUUAAAAAUAUGCUUUACUAUUUCAAGGGUACAUUCCUAAAAAUUUGUGAAUGGUAGCGAAACAAGACUCAUCAUAGAUCGAGCCAUAUAGUAUUCGACUAUCCUUUUAUUAACAUCAUUAUAUUAUGGUGUUAUUGGAGAAGCCAAUUAUGGAAACCGUUCCACAAUCUCUAAGUUGAUUGUAGAACUUAAUACUAAGUGUAACUUUCAGUUUAGGUGAGCAAUUGUCAACUUAAAAAAUUCAAAUUUUUUUGCCUACUCAUGACGUGAGAUAUGUAUAUCACGUUGUGAGGAGAUUAGUGAAAUCACGCAUCACCUUUGGGAUCACAACAUGAGCACAUAUGGCUCACGACAUGAGACUUGCAUGUGAGGAAACCCUAAUAUUGGGGGUUUUAUUUUCGUAUUUAAAUGAAGUGAGUGUUAGGGUUAGCCUACCCUCAGCCCUUAUCACCUCCUUGCACUCGCCUUUGAAACCCUAUCAUCCAUAUUUGUGUUGGAUCUAUAUGCCCAAGAAUCAUUAUGGAGUGAUAUUGCUAAUAAUAUAUGAUCCUAUAGGGUCACACCUUUAUCAAGUUGGCACAUUUUAUAUAUUUAUUGUGAUUAUUAAAUAAAAAUAUUGAUUCUUGUAUUUUAAUUAGGGAAUAAUUAUUCUUUUAUGAAAAUAAUAAUUAUAAGAGAGUAUUACUGGUUAUUAUUUCAUAUGGUAUGAAUUACUAAGCCAUGCACAACAUUUUCGAUUAGUUGGAUUCUUUUGUCUUUUACCUAAAGACAAAGUUUAUAUUUUAUAAACUUGGAGUUUAUAAAAAAUAAAGAAUCCUCCUCUUUUCAAGAGGUAUGGCCAAAAAUAUUAAAAUAUGGGGGUUGUUAUUCAACCUCCAUGCUUUUGUCUCCCAUGCUUCUAAAGGCUACCAUUACUUUAGAUUAUUUUAAUGGUUAGACCUUACCUUUCAUGGACUAUAUAAGAGUGUCUUAUGUAUGAGAAAUGUGCAAGUUUUUGGUCUCAUUUCUUCUCUUGAAGCACAUGGUCAAAACUCUCUCUUCUCUUCCCCCCUCUCUCUCUUUUAAAGUUAGUUUGGUGGUUUAGAAGACCUCUUGACUUGUUCUCUUUAGUUCUUAUUUGAGUUAAGCACUUAAAGGUUUAAGACACUCAAUAAUACAAGAAAGAACUAACAUUCCAAGUGCCUUACUCUUGAUGAUGGAUACUUGUAUAGAAGAUCAUACACUUUGAUAUUUUGCUAUCUUCAUCAACACCCUAAAACCAAGUGGGUCCAAAGGCUUCAAAGGUUAUCUCUAAAACAUCUUAUGGUUGGUUUUAUUUCAUUAUAACCUCUAUAAAUGGAUCCAUGAUGGUUUGGUUUUGUUAUGAACUAAAAAUAAACUUGUUAUUUUUAAAGUCUUUUGUUGUCGGUUUUUGUGAAAAACAAGCUUUUAUUUUGUAUCAAAACCCAACAAUUUGAUCUUGAGCUUAUUGGUGGUGAUUUUAGCCAAUGAGAAGGAGAGGAAGAGCAUCUAGUCCAUCAUUUCUGCAUUCAAGUCUCACCAUCAAGCAUUUGCACACCUUCUGGACCUUUUGUGAGUAUCAAGUUCAUUGCUUUAUGAGUCUAUAAGCUUAGAUCUAGGUUUUUAUGCUUAAUCCUUCAUAUGCAAGAUGAUGUAGUGUUUGGAAUACAUAAAGUCGCCAACUUUAUGGAUCUCCAGUGUCCCUUAAGUAGUAUAGAUGCUAGAUCUGGAAUAUGGUUGAGUUUGAUGACUCUUGCAUGAGAUUUGGGGCCAUUUUCUCCUUUUGUGCCCUAGUUAGUGUUUGGGACAUGUAUUGGAAAUGCAUGUCCAAAAAUCAUCGAUUUUUAUGAUGUUUUGGAGUAAAUAAGACAUUAUGGAGGAAUUGGUUGCUUGACCAAAAGAUAUUAAGAGUUUCAUUAAGAACUUCUGAUCAAAGCGUUCUCAUGAUGUGAGCACAUGGGUGUCACGACGUGAGAUGGUAUUCCUUGACUAUUUUGACUUAUUAAGUCACAACAUGACCAUUAGGGGUUACUACGUAACUAAUGGAUUAUAGGACAAUCGAGUGUGGAUUGAUUUUGACUUUGACCAAGUUUGACCUAAGGGUAUUUUGGGUAUUGGGUAUUUUGGGUAUUUUGAGUUGUAUUUGAGAUUGGUCACUAUUUGAUGAAUACGUGAUCGGUAGAGCUGAUAUUUUGAGUAGUGUCAUGUUCAACGAUAUUUUCAGACUGAGAGGUGAGUUUUCCUCAUUGUUCUUGUGGGUCGAAGGCAUCAAUGUCGGUCCAUCAGUUUAUGUAUCCUGGUAUAUAGGAUGUUGCUAUGUAGUAGUGAUAUGUAGAGUUGUCUGUUAGUUUUUUGACUGGUUAUAUGAUUAUUUGUUGCUAAGUAUAUGUCAUUUGUUAUUUAUAUGUCGACAAAGUAUGUGGGGUUGAGACUGUACCGCUUUGUGUUGUCAGUCAACAGACUGGGGCAUUCAAACCAGGAGGUUGUGGGCCGGGGGUAAUCCAACCAGGAGGUUAUGGACCCGUUAUGUGUUAAGCAAGCCAACCGUAAGGUUGUGGGCUAGGGGUAAUCCAACCAGGAGGUUGUGGAACCGAUAUCUGUUGAUUAUUUGUUUGUGUGGUGGUACUUUGGGGGAACUCAUUAAGCUUUGGCUUAUUGUUUCAAGUACUUUAGAUGAUCGUGGCAAGGCGAAUGUGUGAUCAUGCACAUCCUUCAGAUUUAUGUUAUUUGGAUUUAGGGAUACUUUGAUUACUGAAAUACACUUUUGAAACAAUGGUUUUGGGUUGUUUCUAAAAAUUUAAAAUUUAUUGAUAUUUUUGGGAUGUUACACUAAGGCAUUCUCCUUUCCUUUCAGAUUCGAGUUCAUUUAUCUUCUUGCCCAACUAAUUCCCUACUUUGUUCUGAUACUUUUGAAACUUUUCAUAGUGUUAAAAUUAUUCUUAAUCAUACCACAUAUACUCAACCUAUCAAUAAAUAUUACAUGGUAGUGUAUGUUGUCUUUUGUGGUGGAUUUGAUGGGUCCACACACAUUAGUAUGUACAAGAUCCAACAACCCUUUAUCACCAUCACAUGUCCAUGUGAAUAGUGACUAAGUCAUCUUACCAACAUACAAGACUCGCAUACAUCAUCCAACUCAAGGUCGAAUGAUUCCAAGGCAGGUCCAAUUGGAGCUUGGUGAUGCGAUUCUUACUUAUGUGGCCAAGGCGAUCGUGCCACAAGCACGAUCAUAUCUAAGCUAUUUAGAGGAAUCAAUGUUUAAGUCGUCACUGCUAUUAUUAGAAACACAAACUAUAAAUUUAUGAAUGUCAAUUUCAAGAAGAUUUUUUAGACAUAAAACCAUCAUCUUUAUAAACUAGAAUUGUCACUUUUCCAUUAUUAAAUGAAAAUUGAAAUUCAUGUUUAUAUUCAACGCAUAAGAUGAAAUUUGGUUUCUAAACAUCUCUGAAGAGUAAUAUCAAGCGAUUAGGUUUAUCCUAACUCCAUUACUAAACACAAGAUCAAAAUCCUCAAUCAUCGAGACAUCCGACAUUCGUCUAUUCCAAUGAUUAGGUUUAGCUCUUUAUGCUUAACUUCCUUCUUUCCUAUAGACUCUAUAAUGNNNNNNNNNNNNNNNNNNNNNNNNNNNNNNNNNNNNNNNNNNNNNNNNNNNNNNAAUGCCAUCUAAAUGUGAUUACCAUAUCAUGCAUUAAGGAUCCAUGAAUUUGAGUCUGAUUAUUCAAGUGCUUAAUGUAGAGUAAAACAUUUGAAUUUACCAUCCCAAAGAUACUUAGGCCAAUCUUCGUUUCAUAUGAUCCUUGCCACUGCACUAAUUGCAACUUGACUCUUUUGAGUCAUGGUCGCAUGGAAUAAAGGGCACACCAAUGCCAUUCCUUAAAAAUGGGAAGUUUUGUCCGAAAAUGUUCCUUUCUAUUUAGGAUUCAAACGUUUCAUAUUCAUUCCGCCAAAAUUCAAAAGUGAUAACUGAGAUUGGAUAAGAAAUCUAAUUCUUCUCCAGUUUUCUCAGUUUGGAGAAGGUUUAAGAACCACAUCAAUGUUUUCCUCCAUAUUAUUUGUAUAAUAAAUUAAGUCGAAAUUAUCAUAAGAACAAACGAAAGAUCGAAUAACAAGAUCUAUAGCAAGACUCUUGUCAAGGGCAACAUUUAGAUUCUUGAGUUUGUCUAUGUAGAUUUCAUUGAUUACAUAUAAAAGUCUAUUCUUCAAUUCGAAUGCAAUUAGGAACUUUUGAUGAUUUUCAAAUCACUCGUGUUUUGCCAUUUGGUGACACAUUUUACUCAAUUGCAAAUUCAUUUCAUACGUUCACAUGCUCAUAAAAUUCCUUUUGGAACAUCGAGGACAUAGACAUAAUAAUGCAAGAAACCUUCUUUGACAAAUCUACAUUUUAUGGGAACAACAACUUAUCUAAAGUUGACACAUUAUUGAUUUAGAGAUAUGAUCAUUAUAGACAUCUUUCCCAAUAUCAAAAUCAAGGAAAAUAUCAUAAUAAUUGAUCAAUUCUCGAGGGACAACAAAGAGAAACUAGAAUUAGUAAGUGGGUGCGGAGGUAGAAGAGGAUUCCAUCUAACUUAAAGGAAAAAAGUUUAAUUAAGUCGAUUUAUUCCUUAAAUAUUAACCUAAUUUUAAAUUAAGGCUAUGAUCCAUAAAUACAAUUCGUAAUAGGAAGAGGGAUGUCAUAAUUACAUCAUGAAUAUAUUUUAAGUAGGUAAAGCAUUUUACCAAUUUCAAUCAAAAUGAAACUCCUAAAUCUUUUGAGAUCAAAUGAACAAUCAAUGACGUGUUAAUCUCAGAUUAUGCUCUUCGAUUUGCGGCUAAGAUGCUAAGCAUCACAAAUAAGUUGAGAAUAACCAUGCAAACCCAUGUGAUAUCCUCUAGGUCAUUUAUGAUUUCACAUUGAUGUGCCAGUUAACCACACACGCUCCAUCAACAAUCAUAAUUUUUUAGAAUGUGCCAUCAUUUCAACUUUGUAGUCCCACAUUAGUGUGUCGGUUAACCACAUACACAACACUAACGACUCACAAAGAAAUAAUGUGCGUUUUCAUGGAUUAGUAUACACUUUCACAUUUUUAUUCUAAAGUAACUAAAGUGAGAUUUUAUAGAAGGUUUUAUUACUUUAUACAUUAUACUUAUAAUGUGAUUAGUGUCAUAUCAAACCCGCUCGACUAACGACCAUCCACCACACAAAUAAGUGACGGGUGAAAAGGAUUACCAGCUAAUAUUUAAUAAUUAGUAUUUGAGCUAUGAUUUAAGAAUUAUCUAUUAAUUAGACAUUUAAUUAAUUUUCUUAAAUCUUAUUAGGAUAAUCAUAUUAUUUUAUAAUUGGUAGUUAUCUUAUUUAUCUUCCUUUCAUAUUCAAGUUAGGAAUCUAAAUUACCUAGUUGAUAUAUUCAAAUUUUAUACAUUUAAAAUAACAUGGAUUAACUAGUAAUUGUCCUAUCUUUUGAAUCAUGGCAAGAAAAUUCAUAAAUCACAAUCCAAACUGUCUUCACGUCAUGACAGAAGGUUGGUCACGAUGUGGCAAAUAAUUUUUUAGUUUUUUUAUUUGUUUUGAGUUUAUCUAUUAUGUACCAUUAAUGUGAAAAUAAAGUUUCUAAUACCACUGAUGGGAAUUCUAGGUUACAAUAACAAUAUACUUGCGGAAUUUCACUUAACAUGUACAUGCAACCUAAAUUGGAUCUAUGUCUUUUCACAUCUAAUAACAACAUACCUACGAAAUACACAAACCAAAACCUAUGAAUCAAAAUUCAAAGUUAAGAAGACUUGAUUGAUUAAAUAAUAUAUUUUAUCCCAAUUCAAAUCAUUUUCUUAUUAGCAACUAGGAGACUUCUAGAAACCCUAAGAAAGACUCCAAAACUGUCCAUGUCAUGGAUUAUUAUAGAGUUGUCUCUUUUUUUCAACUAUUGAACAAUUACAAAUCACCCCUUGCACAUUUAGUUAAUUCCAAUUAAUUACGAAUUAAUUCCAAAUUAAUUCUAAUUAAGAAUGAACCAAUUUUGACCAUUUAUAAUUAAUUUAUUAUACAUAUAAUAAAUUAACACAUCAUCAAUUAAAUAUUUCUAAUUAAUAUAUUAAUUACAUAAUAUAUUAACAAAUCAUUUUAAAUCUAUCAUUUGAUCAAUCUAAUCCAUUUCCUGGUUAUAAGGGCAAACCAAAAAAAAUUUUACUUUUAUUCAUCAACAUUAUACCAAUUUAGAUAGGACCUUAGACACUUAAUCCAACAAAUUCAAUGUUCAAAAAUGGAUUCAUUAUCGGCAAGAUCUUGAAGCUAAUCGAUUUUGUAUUAUUUUUCUUGAAGGUCAUCGUUUUGACUCUACGAAUUUUGUGGUGGAUGGCAGCGGUGGAUUGUGGUGGUAGUAGUGAUUAACUUCUUUUUUAAUCUCGUUAUUUUGCAGGUAGUAAAGAAGAGAUUUCAUUAGACAUUUUGUUGAUUUACCGAUCCACCAUGUUUAAAUUGAGACCAUGGUAGACGACAGAGCACAUGAAGUUGAUUCUGACGACGAGAAUUAAAUGUAUCUGGGUCACGGGAUAUUUGAGUGUGUCUAACAUUAGUCCCAUCACAACUAUUAUACCUCGAAUAAGGUAUCAUCGAGGGGAUUUAGAUAUGAGGGGGAGGAUUAAAAACACGAAAUGAGAGAAUGGACCGAUGAAGCAAUAUACUAAGGUCUGUCAUGUUCGGAAAAUAUAAUCUAUUCUGGCGAGGAUGGCGAUUCCAGUGAAGAAGAAAUAAAUAUUAGACAUUCCAACAUACCAAGCUUCGAUUGUCCGACAUGCUUAGUGGCGAGGAUGAACGUACAAUGACCGAUGCUAAAUCCGGUGAGAAAAUGAAGGAGGACAUAGGUUAAGUAAUAUGAAGAGAGCGAUGUUAGUAGUCCAAAAAUAACAUUGAGUAUGCCAACUACUGUAAGGAAUAUUAGAUGUCCUUUAAAAAUAUAUAAAGAUCUAAUUUAAAAUGUCACAUCACUAAAGUAAUUGUCUCUCCCCACAUCAGGUCAUAUGAUAGUGUAAUUGACACGUAAAGGUUAACUUUAAUGGUCUAUUGUGCCAAAAAAAAAAUAUAAAUGGUCGAUCUAAGACAACCACAAAACUUGAUUGCUAGUAGAAUGUCAUUUUCCCUUACAUUUUCUUUGAAUUUGUUAUUUGGUGUUUGGUAAUGUUUCUAAAUAUUUAUUUAACUUUAAUAUGGUUCUUCCCCUAAAUGAUAAUCACUUAUUAUGAUUUUAAGUUUUAAAAACAUUUUUAUAGGUUUUUAACUUUAGGCUUUGAUAGUUUACUCUAUCAAACACCCUUAAGAGGUUUGAUCCUAAUAGUGCUUAAUAGUCUCCUUAAGCUCAAUCUAUGUAUUUUGACAUGUUUUCAAAUUUGAAAACUUAGUUGAAGACCAAUAUGAACUUAGCAAUUGGAUAUUAAAUGUUAAAUUAUUUGAAAUUUAAGAUGUAUUUAAGGAUGUUACUUUACCUUGGUUUAUUGAUUAUGUUGUUACAACCUCGUAUGUCUCGACACUUUAAACUUUUUAAAUGUUAAGGACUUAACUAGUUAAAACCUAUAUCCGCAAGUAGUUUCAUGAAAUGAUUCUUAUUUUUCACAUUAGUAGUUGUUUUUUGACUAUCUGAAAAAGAUAUCUAUGAAAUGUCUUGGAUAUUUUUCAAACAAUAAAGUUUUCAAUGGUGGAUCUUAAUUAACAUGAACAAUUUGCUUUAUGAUUAAAUCAGUGAUAUUCAUAUGGAUAUCACUUUUUCUAUAACCCACUUAUAAUCAUAUAUAAACAUGAAAAAUAUGUAAAAUUCAUUUUUAUGAAAUUUGUUAGAAAGAGANNNNNNNNNNNNNNNNNNNNNNNNNNNNNNNNNNNNNNNNNNNNNNNNNNNNNNNNNAUAUAUAUAUAUAUAUAUAUAUAUAUAUAUAUAUAUGUAUAUAAAUAACGUGUAAAUAUUACGUUCAAUGUUUUUAUUAAAAAACUAAUAUGAGAUUUCUUAAUAAACAGAUUCAAGAAUUUCACCUCUCUGAUUUGUGUUUUUCUAUACAUUUACAAGAAACACGGUUUUACAUUUUUCAGUCUCAUUACAGUUUAAUCUCAACUAGUUCUAUGAUCUAGCUCACUAGUCCUAUCAAACUCGUUCGACUAACUACCAUCCACCACACAAAUAAGCGAUGGGUGAAAAGGAUUAUCAGUUAACAUUUAACAAUUAGUAUUUGAGCUAUGAUUUAAGAAUUAUCUAUUAAUUAGACCUUUAAUCAUAUUUCUUUGAAUUUGUUAUUUCGUGUUUGUUAAUGUUUCUAAAUAUUUAUUUACCUUUAAUAUGUUUCUUUCCCUAAACGAUGAUCACUUAUUAUGCUUUUAAGUUUUAAAAACCUUUCUAUAGGUUUUUAACUUUAGGUUGGAUAUUUGACUCUAUAAACACCCUUAAGAGGUUUGAUCCUGAUAGUGCUUAAUAGUCUCCUUAAGCUCAAUCUAUGUAUUUUGACAUGUGUUCAAAUUUGAAAACUUAGUUGAGGACCAAUAUGUACCUAACAAUUGGAUAUUAAAAGUUAAAUUAUUUGAAAUUUAAGAUGUAUAUAAGGAUGUUACAUUACCUUUGUUUAUUGAUUGUGUUGUUACAGCCUUGUAUAUCUGACAUUUUAAACUUUUUAAAUGUUAAGGACUUAACUAGUUAAAACAUUUAUCCGCAAGCAGUUUCAUGAAAUGAUUCUUAUUUUUCACAUUAGAGGUUGUUUUAUUUAACUAUCUGAAAAAGAUAUUUAUGAAAUGUCUUGGAUAUUUUUCAAACAAUGAAGUUUUCGAUUAUGGAUCUUAAUUAACAUGAACAUUUUGCUUUAUGAUUAGAUCAGUGAUAUUCAUAUGGAUAUCACUUUUUUAUAACCCACUAAUAACCAUACAUAAACAUGAAAAAUAUGUAAAUAUCAUUUUUAUGAAAUAUGUUAGAAAGAGUAUAAAUUGCAAGUUAUACAUACAUACAUACAUACAUACAUACAUAUAUAUAUANNNNNNNNNNNNNNNNNNNUAUAUAUAUAUAUAUUUGUGACAUCCCCAAAAUCACGGCCAGAAAAGACCGGUUUAAUUUAUGCUUUUAAAACAAGUUCAUAGUAAUCCUUUGAUUAAAAGAGUUGCGGAAUUUGUUCCCAAAAUAAAAUAUGAUAAAAUAAGAUUUAUCAAAGCAUUUCAUAAAGAAAUGUAUUUUCAUUAUAUAACAAAACUCGGGAUGUCAUUUUCCGAUAAACAGAACAAAAGCAUAAACAUUACAAUACAAACCUUACAACAGUUAUAUAAAACAAUAUGUCUAUAAUCCAAAAAUAACUUGACAAGUCAUCCAACUUAUGCUCUGGCUCCACUACCUGUAAUACAAAGAAAACUGAGUGGGUCAGACUUGGGAGCCUAGUGAGCAUAUAGGGUUUUCAACCCACAAUAAAUAAUUAUAUUUAAUUCCACCAACCAACAAUAACCCAAUUACCCAUUCUCGUUAUUCUCACUUUACAUCUGUAAGACAACUAACAUAAGGGACCUAGUCUAAGAAGAUUUCAUCAGGGCGACAACACAUGCUUCGGGGGUUCCUCAGCAAUAUAAGUCAAAUAAGGCAACCAUGAGGGGGAUGGAGUAUAGCGAAUGAACACCCAAGUUCAUUAACACCUACAGGUGGCGAGCCUACUAGCGUUCCAUAAGACUGUCUAGAAAAGUUUGUGGUCGUCAUCUAAACUCCGCUAGAUGACUAAAUCAAAAACAUCGAGGCCUCUCAUCUUUUUAUCACAAGACAACUAUCUACCCAUGUUCUACCCAACAUUUUAGUAGAUAAAUUAUUAAUUUUUAUACAUACUUUAAAACCUGUAUGGUAUGUUCAUUCAAAACACAUUCCAGAUAAAAGAUGAGACACAUAAACAUAACACGUAUUUCAUAAAGAAUAAAUCAUAUCUAUGAGAUUAGAAGAUAACAUCGAUACACUCACAUAACACAUAUACUUAGUACGUUAAAUCGAUACCUGUAUAAAAUCGUGCAUUUGAAAGAGAUUAUGUACCCCUUUCAAAUCAACACCAAUAUAUAAACACAUAGCACGUAUUUCAUAGUAAAUACUUCGUAUUUACGUAUUUAUGAGAUUUCUUAAUAAACAGAUUCAAUAAUUUCACCUCUUUAAUUUGUGUUUUUCUAUACAUUUACAAGAAAAACGGUUUUACAUUUUUUAGUUUCAUUACAGUUUAAUCUCAACUAGUUCUAUGAUCUAGCUUUAUUGGUUCUCACUAAAUAACAUGUUUAGAUGCAAGCUAAAUUAUUAUUCAUGCAACAAGAUUAUAUAAUGGUUAGGCUAUUGGAUAUACUGCAACAUCCUAAAAAUAUGACUCAAAAUUUUCAUUUUUCAUUCAAGUAAAAACAAUAUUCCAAAUCAUUGUUCAUACAACCCAAAUAAAAUAAGUAUGUCAAACAUCAUAGAAAUCAGAGUGUGUCCUAUAAACAGAAUCCAUAUGGUGUGUGCGAUGCAGUAAACUCGAGCUCUUCUCCUUGGAACCAGAAGUACGUGAAACAUAAACUAAAAAUCAUAAGUACAAAGCUUAGUCAGUCCCCCAAAGUACUACAUACCAACAUACAUAACAUAUAACGAGCCCCGCCCUAGCUCGCAUAACAGUCCCCGCCCAAUGAGUAUAACGGGCCCUGCCCUAACUCGUAUAACGGGCCCUUCCCAAUAAGUAUAAUAAGCCCCAACCUAACUCACAUAACGGGCCCUACCCACAUAUAAAUCAUAUAGCAACUAAUUACAUACAAGAUAAUUAUCGGCCCCGCCCAUAAAACAUACAAGCACAUAUACAUACUCGUGCCACACAAACAAUGAGUAUCCUAACAUAUCAUAUCAUGGGUCGGCAUUGGUGCCUUCGACCCGCUAUACAUGGUAAGGAAACUCACCUCGAAUGCUGAAUCUCAUGGAAGAUCCCUAGUUGUUGUCCUGACGACUCCCCGAGCUAUCAGUACAAAAUAACACCCUAUUAACACUUGGGUUCCAUACUAUAACUAAUAAUCCAUACUUGGGGUGAAAUGACCAUUUUACCCAUGGCAUAGCUUGAUCCAAGACUAAGGCCCAAAUCCAAAUCUAAAAGGCCCAAUAUCGAAUAAUCCUUUAAGGCCCACUUAUGGCCCAAUUUUCCAAAUUGGGUCCAAUUCCUUCUAAUGGGCCUUUGCCCAAGGCCCAAUAAUAUUUAUGGCCCAAAAAUCCCAAAUUCAGAUGGCCCAACUAAACCCUAACCUUCUAAGCCCAAAACGUGACCCAAACCUAAGGCCCAACUUUGAAAUGCCACCUAACUGAGUAUGCGGGGCGUACUCAGUUUGUAUAUUAAGCGUACUUGUGUUAGGGUGCAAAGCUAUUCAUGAUUGACUUUGUAAAUGUUUGACUUUUGUAAAACCCACUUGCAUGUGGAGUAUUAGCCUUGUGACAUAUGAGAGAUAGAGAGUGAGUGAGAGACAUGUAAACACCUCUAUAAAUAGUGGGUUCAUACCACUUGUAGAGGUGUGCUUGAGAGAUGUAAAAGUUGAGUGUGUAAGUGUGUGUUAUCAAUGUAGUCAAGAUCUAGAUCCUUUUUGUAUAACACCAUACAUAUUCAAUACAUCUCUUGAACACCCAAAUCACCAUGUUCAUUAUGCAUUCUUUAAUUCCGCAUGCCAAACCAUGUUCUUAUGUCACUACAAUUGGUAUCAGAGCGGGUCUUCAAGAUCAAGGUGGUUUUUGAAGAUCGAUUCUUGGUUUGGCAACUUUUGUCGCAAUUUGAGCAAUUUUGGUGAGUCUCUCUCUAUGAUCUCUCUUAAUUUCAUUGAAUUCGUGUGUUGCGUUUUUGAUUUGUGAUCGUUUGACUCAUUGGAUCAAAUAUUUUUUGAAAAAAACCCCAUUGUGUGAUCCAAUAAUUUUUGUUUAGAUCAAGUCAACCAAAAACAAAAUCAAUUUUACUGUUCAUCAAAUUGAAUUUCAAGCCCAAAGACAAAUUCAAAAGUAAAUCCAUUUCGUUUAUUCAAAUAUCGAGUCCAUUACUCGAGUUUGUUAUUGUUCAUCAUUUGUGAUCGUAGCCCAAAAUCAUUAUCUGAUUUAUUUGAGCCCAACAGUUGAGAUGUUACUGUUAAUAAUCCGUUUGUGAGCCCAAAAAUUCGUUUACAUCAUAUGAUUUUUGAGUUUUGUUCCAGAUCUAGUCACAUGUAUGCAUAAAAAAGUUGUACUUUACUGAAAAUUUGAGACUCGAGUGUAGUUCGACAUAUUCUCACGUUUUUGUUCUCGAUUUCAUGUUUAUGUUAACCGAUUAAAAUUUGUUCGUAAUCUAGACUUGUGAAUCGAUUGAAUUUGAGUUGUUCUAUUUCAUAUCGAUUAUGAUCAAGUCAAAUUUGAAAAACAUCAAAUUGUAUCUUUGAUUUCUAUGAAACUGACCAAGAACACUUGUAGGAGGUGAAGAAAAGUUGGUUGAACAAGUUUUGAUCUGAAAUUUGUGGUUAGAUUCGUCAAUUUCGUGUUUCUUGAUCUUUGACUUCGAAAAGUCAAUCCCAUAAAAAGUCAAACUCGACUUCUAUGGGUUGAUUCAAUGAAUUGGAAGAAGAAAUUGGAAGAUACAAGUUGUUUUUGAACUGUGAAUGUCAAAAUCAUGUUCAAUUUGGUGUUUAAUUUUGAAAUUUCUUGGAUUAGAGCUAAUGGUGUCGAUGCCUGUUCUUAUGUUCUUGGUUGAUUUUGGAACUCGAUCUUGGAAUUUAUUUGGGGUCGAAUGUUCUUAAUGUGAGUCAAAGUUGAUGUUUUGGGUUCGUGAAUGAAAAGCAAAGUUAAUGCAAGAGUCGAUCGAUGCGAAUUCAAGAAAGAGUGGAAAUCGAUUGAUAUCCAAAGACGAUGGUAAAAGAACGAAGGGUGUAUAUGAAUGUUUUGGAUUAACAUCUGAUAACACGAAUUUGGGAAGAAAGCAGGUCGAUUUCAAAUGGGAAGGCUGUAUGAGAAUCGAUAGUUAGAAACGAACUGGGAAAGAUCGACUUGGUAAGGAAUUAUGUUUUGAUGUGUCGAUGUCUAAAUUGGAGUUCGUUGUGGGAUUUAUGGAGUCAACUUUCGCAUCAAUGGAUGAUAAUUCGCAUCUGGAAAUCGAUUUAGGAAUAUGACUGAUUGAAAUCGACGAGUUAGAUGUCACUUGGAUUCAACAUUGAGUAUUUUACUGGGAAUCGAAUUUGAUUUGGCAAUUGUAGAAGGCUUCGCUUUUGUGAUACUUUGAUGACGAACAGAUGGUCGAUGCGAAGUCUAAGUGGAUAUUGGAAUCGAUUAUGCGAAGUUAAGGAUUAAAGGAAGUCAUCAUUCGCAAUCUAUGAUGUUUUGGAGACGUUCGCAUCUGGAAGCAAAGUGGAGAAGAAACAGAUUAUGUCGAUUCGCAUUCCUAAACUUUCACUGAAAUGACACUUUAUACAACUUCACAAAUGGGUAAUAAAAGUUGAGAAAUUGCAAAAUUUUCAGUUCUGGUCCCUGCAGUUUGUGCGAAUUUACACAUUCUACCCAGUUUCGCAAAUGGGGGUGUGUUUCGCAUAUUUGGCUGUUUUGGGCACAACGAGUCACUGCAGAAUUUUGAAAUUGACAAUUUCUACCCAUUUUUGAGAAAUUUUGUCAAAGGCAAUCCGUGAACGAAGCUAAAAAUUCAAUAUUUUUUGGAUUUUCCGGAUUGAAGCACAAAGUUUAUGCCACAUGUUAAGGGAGAGUUUUGACAUGAAAAAUUCCAAAUACACCAUGUUCUUUUUCCUUUGGAGUUUUAUAAUCAAAUUUCGAUUAUAAAAAGGGGAGAAGCUUUAUAUGGAAAUUCGAACUUGAAUUUUUCAUAUUACGUGGAUUUGAAGACCGAAGUGAUCUUGAAGUUUUGAAGCCUACGAGAUGAUGCAAUUGGAAGUUCGGAAGUGAUGUAUUCGAAAUGGGUUUGGAAUUAUUGAAGAUUUUUAGGGUGUGUUUUUAUGCGCAACUUUAGGGUGAUUAUUUGGAGUUUGGGAUACUCUUAAUCAUUCGUUGCUGCUCGGAUUGUAUUGUCUCACAUCCUAGGCCCAAAUUGAAGAAUCAUGGAAUAAUUGAAGAUUGAAGUUCGUUUCAACAUGUGUCACCUUUGAGGCUCGAACUGCGUAGUUGCUCGACUUUGGAAAAUUUGAAGAAGUUCAUUCAUUCCUAACUUUGAGGGGGAGAAUGUUAGGGUGCAAAGUUAUUCAUGAUUGACUUUGUAAAUGUUUGACUUUUGUAAAACCCACUUGCAUGUGGAGUAUUAGCCUUGUGACACAUGAGAGAUAGAGAGUGAGAGAGAGACAUGUAAACACCUCUAUAAAUAGUGGGUUCAUACCACUUGUAGAGGUGUGCUUGAGAGAUGUAAAAGUUGAGUGUGUAAGUGUGUGUUAUUUAUGUAGUCUAGAUCUAGAUCAUUUUUGUAUAACACCAUACAUAUUCAAUACAUCUCUUGAACACCCAAAUCACCAUGUUCAUUGUGCAAUCUUUAAUUCCGCAUGCGAAACCAUGUUCUUAUGUCACUACAACUGGCUCGAAGGCUUGUACGCUGCGCGUACGGGCUUGUACACACAAAGUACUCAUCCAGAUAAACCAUCUUCUAGAUUUAACUCUCAACCCAUUAAGACUUCACCCCAUAAUGCAUAUUUGACCUCCUUGAGCUGGGUUAUCACGUAAAGUUGCCAACUUUACGUCCAUGCAUGGCUAUAUGAAGCUCUAAAGCUCAACAAGGACUUAAUAAGAGACUUAAUGAAUGCAUGAGGCCCUAAAGCCCAUAAAGUUGGCACCUUUAUGUCUAAGGAGCCCAUGAUAACCUUAGAUUUGAAAGAAUAAGUCUUUGGGACGUCCUAAUUCCAUCAUUCACCCAAACCAUGGCUAAAAAUAUAACAAUUUAACCCAAAAAGAAAUCUAAGCAACUAUUAAUCAAGAUAAUACUUGAUACCUCAAACUCCUUGCAAAAUGGGUAAUGGUUCUAGAUCCAAGACUUCCUCUCCAAGCUUAGCAACUUCAAGAUCUUCUAACUCCUUCACAAUGCACAAAAUAAACACGAAACUCUCUUCAAAGGCUCAAAUGCUUAACAAUGGUGGCUAUAACUCGAUUUAGGGUUUUGGAGGCGUUGGAUGCUGGAAAUGAGGCCAACCCCAGAGAAUAAGGUGACUUAUAUAGGGUGCAAGACCCUCAAUCAGGGUUUCAUUAAAGUCCACGUACGCCCAACGUACAUGACCUAGGUCCCGACUCGGCAAUAACUCAGUACGUUAAGCGUACCAAGUGGUACGCCCCGCGUACUACUUCAAGGACCAAAUUUGAUAAUUUCAAAAUAGAGGGGUCAUAAGGUACAUACCAGGGCAUAAGUGUUACAUGUACCCUCACCACAACAUAUGGCAAGGGUGUUGUGGUAUUGAAUGGAGGUGGGAGAACAUCACACCAAGUGGUGUGAUGAGUAUAAUACCUUCCACUAUGAGAACCGAAACCAAUACAUAACCUCCUUUUUUUUCUCCAUUGUUUUGACACUUACAAUACAAUAUCCUAUUGAUUCAUAUUUAUUAAACAUUAUAUAAGAAGUAUAAAAAAUAAAGGAAUAAUGACAAAAAAAUGAGGUACGGUAAAAAUAAAAGGAAUGGGAUGAAUAUACAUUUUGACCGUAUUAUGAAUAUUCACUUCUAUACCUUGUCUCUACUUAUAUCACAUCCUUGUUUCCCAAAUCAUUCAUAUAAAAAUCUAUUGGGUGAUUCGAUCUCGAGGCCUUUACUGAAAUAUGUGAAGGAGCUUCCGUUGACGCAACUGCCCCUCCAAAAAAAAAUACUGUAUAUAACAAUUUAUUACUACUUCAAAGUGAAAAAUCUAAAAAUCUUGAGGGGAGUCAAGUGUCGAAUUCCAAAACCACAGGGCACGAAAUGGAUUCGUCAGCCUUGACGACACAGUACACACCAACAAGCCAUAAACCACAAACCGGAAAAAGAAAGACGAGAAAAAAACGGAAGGAAAAGGAGUGGAGGAUCGAUUCUUCACAGGAGAAUCCAGCCAUAGCAGCACUUACCAUCCCCAACACAUAAAACCCUUCGCUUUUCUUGCUAAAAAGGGAAUCUUUCAACGCAAAGGGUUCGUAUUCUGUUCGUUGUUUCAUCAAAUUUCUUCAUUGGUUACCCAGAAUUCGCACAUUUACAGAUCUCUUUCACCUCCGUAAGUCUUAAUUGAAAACCCGUUUUCAGUUUUCUCGAAAUCUCCACCGGUUCACAUAAUCAGAGCUCAAUUUUUUUGUUUUUCCACUCUUUUAGCUUAUUCGAUUUUAGCAACUUACUUCCUUUCUUAAAUUUGUUUCUAUAUACUUGAAAUUGAAAUCCUCAGUAGCUGAACCUUGCCUUUGAAUACUUCAAUCAUCGCGUGGGACAGCUAGUAGCUUGACGCAGCAGGGGAAAAUGUUUCGUAAUCUAUGAUUAGGUAUGCAAUUGCCAUAAACUCAGUUCAUAUUAUCUGUAUGUUUAUAUUUUUGGGGAUUUUCGCAUUAGUUUUUUUCAUUGGCUAUAUUGGGUCCAUAUAUUAUAUGCGAUUAUGGAGCUAGGUUUCCAAUUGUUACUCUGAUUGUGCUUUCAUUUGAUCAAAUUUGAAGUUUCUAGGGCUAGCUAGGGAUUCAUUAUGAUCCCUCACAUGUCACACAAACAUCAUGUAUAUGACUACUUUAAACACUCUGUAUCUCUUUUAUUCAAUCAAUGAAAUCUUUCUUAACCUCAGUUGCUAAUAAUUUCAUUUGAUUCUGAUCAAAAACCAUACAAUUGGCUGAUUUCAAUUUCCUUCAGGUGUCUAGGGAAAGACCUCUACUAGUUUACUUGAAUGAGGAUACGAAUGUGGCUUUCAAUAGAACAAAGUUUUUACCUGAUUUGAACUUGUGGGGAGGUGUUCAAGUGCAUUAGUGAUGUGGACAAAUGUCUUCAAAAUCGUACGUUUCUUCCCUUUACACUAAUCUUCUUUUGAAUAUAUUAUUAUCGCUUGUAUUCGGCUAUAGUAAUGUUAACAAUUGCUAUCUACUUAUCAUUUUCAGCUAAUUAUUCAAGUUCUUGAUUUUCUUCCAUUUUGGACGCGUGUUAUUGUUUCUAAAGAUCACAUGGUUUUAUUAUUCAUAUUCUCAUUUACUUUCUCUCUUUGACUUUUCUGAAGGGUGGUCUACAUCAAGUAUCAUGGUUCCAAUAUCUCCCGAACGAAUCUGAUCCCAACAUUUCUGAUAGAAGGUUCUUCAUUUUCACAAAUUUUAAUACUUUAGUAUAUUAUAAUUUAUUAAUUCUUGCUAAAAAUCAUAUCUUUUUCAAUUUUUUCACAGUGCAAAGUUAAACCAAAGAGAUUUUGCUGCACAAUUAGUCCUUUCAUCCCAUUUGCAGUUACAAAAAGAUGGAUUCCUUAGCACAUGGGGUAAUUCUUUUGUUGGCCCUUGGGAUCCAUCUCAGGGUCUACAUAACCCUGGUAAACCUUUAACUCUUCAAUCACCUGUUUCAAGAAUUGAAAAGUGACAUAUUUAGUCCUCCAACUAAUUCUUACUUGACAAAAUCUUGUAGAUGAGAAAAUCAAGCUAUGGCUUUUUAUCCCUGGUCGCCAUUCGUCUCCCAAUGAUAAAGCCAAAGCCAUUGUAUCUAAACUAAGAGGUGCACUUUUUUGUUGCAAUCCAUGUUUAUAAUCUGUGAAAACAUAUACUAGCAACAAUACUAUAAAAAUACAAAAAUAAUGAAAGCAGAUAUAACUUAUAAGCAAUCAUGGUGUAAUCCAUGUUCAUAAUUUGUUGCAGUUCUAGCAUCUGGAGUUUGGUUAGCACCUGGGGAUUCUGAAGAGGUGGCAGCUGCACUUUCUCAAGCUUUAAGGAAUUGUAUUGAAAGGUUCUUUUUUUUUUUUUUUUUUUUUUUUUUUUUUUUUUUUUUUCCUUUUCUAUUCUUUAUUUAAGUUUCUUGAAGAAAACUAUAUAAUAAACAUAUGAAUUUCUUUUUCUCUUAACUAAUGUUGACAGAGCAUUAGUAAAUCUUUCAUAUAUGAGAUUUGGGGAUGUAUUUUCAAGAUACCAUCCAUCUUCACAAGGAGAAUCAUUUAGGUAUUGAUCAUUGAUAUUCUGUAAUUGUUACUUUUUGGGUGUUUAAGUAGCUUAAAAAUUACGAUUUUUGCCAUUGUAGGAGAGGCAGACCAAUGCUUGAGUUCAUAUUUACUGCAACAGAAGAAGCAGUAUUCGUUCAUGUCAUAAUAUCUGCAAAGUUUGUUGCUUUCUUCCUUCUUUUUUUCUUUCAUCAAAUCAUCAAUUGUCUUUAUGACUAUGAGCUCUUAUUUGCUAUAUGAAGAUAUUUACAUUUAUACCCUUCUUCCUACCAGGCAUGUUCGGGCACUUUCAAAUGGUGACAUGGAGGCAAUCUUGAAGCGCACGUCUAGUCAUUCUAGUGACAGGCUUCCAGGUUGAUUUAUAGCAUCCUACUUUCAUUUAUUUCUAUUACAACUUUGUACUCAUUUUUAUUCUUAUUAAAGCAUUGAUUGUACUUUGAAAAAAUCUAUUCAAUUAUAGCAGUAACUGCUAAAUCUUUUUCUUUUUGGACCAUUAUACUCUAAAAAUCUUUCCAUUUAUAUUUGGAUGACAGAUUUUCCAAAAAACAUUCUGUAAUAAGAAGAAAUGAAAGUAGAAUGCUAUAGUUAACAAAUCAAGAAAAUUAAAAUUGCUAUUUCUUGUAUUUAACUCUAUAAAGUAUUUCCUUAUGCAGUUAUUGCCUCACCUCAUGGAAUGCGUGGCAGACUUACAGGAUUUUGUCCAGGUGAUCUUGUGAAGCAAUUGUAUUUCAGGUAUUCCUUCUUUUUAUAAUAAUUAAUAGUUUGAUAAUAACAAGUAACAACACAUAACUCAUAUUUCUUGUUUUUUCUUGUUCUUGUAAUGAACAGUUCUGGAAAGUUCAAGGCUUCAAAUGGAAUUGUAGGUCUUCCAAACCAAAUGUCCCAAACCUCUGGGUGCCAACUCAGGGGCCAAAAAUGUUACCUUGAAGUAACCCUAGGGUGCGAAAGUGUCAAAAAUGAGAAACCAUUACCAUCAAAUUCAACUAAAAACUUUUCAAAGCAUCAUUCAACUGAAAAUGAGAAGGGGCCCACGUACGACAAAACUUUCAUAUAUCCAACCGAAGCAGUUCUUGUACCCGUUGUUCAAACAUCAUCCGCUAGAUCCUCUCUAAAAAGGCAUCCCACUUUAUCUUUCAUUAUUUAAAAAAAAAGAAGUAAAUAAGCUUAUAUUGCUAUUAUCUAUUUAUAUGUUCACUAAGUGUUACUUUAUUGUAUAGAUUCUGGCUUCAAAACUGGAUGGGCCCAUCAUUGUCUGGUUCCUCUUUCUCUAUGCAAUGGUAACUCUUUUUGUUUUCAAUCAAAACAUACAAAAACAUUGUAACAUUUACAAUUACAUAAUCAUAAUCAUAAUCAUAAUCCGAAUUCUGUUUGGAUCUCUGUGUAGUGAUGCUUUGAGUAGCAUGGAUGGAUCAUGGCAUGAUGCAAGCAUCCGAUGUCAACAGGGUUACAAUAGUAGUGGGAAUAGUAAUAGUAGCAGUAUUAGCACAAGUUCAUCUAGUGAUAGUGAUUAUAGAAUGACAGCAGAAACUGGUGACCUUGAAGCUGAUGCUGAUUCUCUUUCUUGCAUAAAAUCUGGAUUAACUUCUGCUGAUCAAAUGCAUAUUGAUGCCUCCAAAAUGGUACAAUCAUUUAUCUAAAUAGUAAUUUUUUUUGUUGCAUUAUCUUAAAUUAUAUAUUUUAAAUCUAUGAAUUAUAUAAAAUUAUGCAGGGUAGCAAGCGAUCAAGGCCUGGAAUGACUGAGUCAUAUGGUCAAGCUGGAGCAGUCAUUAAUGACUUUGGGUCAAUGGAAGUCAACAAUGAGCAAGGUGGGUCCCAGUGGGAUUGGGAUGAUGAUGACAGAGGCAUGGGUAUGGACAUUCAAGCACUUCUCUCAGAGUUUGGAGAUUUUGGAGACUUUUUUGAAAAUGAUGCUUUACCUUUUGGAGAAGUAAGUGAUAACAUUACAAAACAAUAAAAUCUUUUAAGAAAAAAACUUUUUGUUUUCUUCUAAACUUUUAUGAUGUGUUUUUUUUUGAAAAUUUUAAAGCCACCAGGGACUGAAGAGUCACAAACACAAACUCCCAUGUUUUCUGCAACGGAUGGUGGAGAUGCAAGUAGCAGCCCAUUUACAGGGAUGAUGGAUGCAUCUGAUCAGAUCAUUAUUCCACUUGGGUUUUCAUCUUUUGAAAGUUUUAAUCCUCCAUCAACUGUUGUAGAAGAAUCCAUAAGCAAAAAUCAAGAACUCACAAAAGAAACAGUGUCAUCAGGCUCAAUGAACUACAACCCACCAGCUAACAACACUGAGUUUGAUUAUGUAAUAAAAGCAGAAGCCAUGAUGACAUUCGCACCUGAAUAUUCAGCAGUUGAAACCCCUGGAAAUGACUUGUUAUUAACUGUCAUUAAAACCCCAUAUGUCCCAAAAUCAAGAACAACCGAAAGUGCAAAUUCAAGCACGAAUAAUUACAUCUACUCUUCAAUUCCUCCUAAGCAUGAUUUAUCUGAUGAUAAAUCGGGUGCGAAUUUGAAUGAUAAGAACUACUACACUCAUGUGGAAAGUGGAAAACUUAAAGAUAAAAAAGAUGUUAAGGAUGAAAAGCUUUCGUUUCGCGACAGUUUUGGUUUUGGAGAAGAUGUUGCUAAUGCUAAUGCUUCAGGUUUCAGUUCUUUAAGUACUGCUUCAAGAUCAAAGAUUUUGGAAGGAGGAUUAGGAAUGGAGAAUUUUGUUUUGUCAUCAAAGACAGGUGUCGCGAAUGAACUCGAAUGCGUCAUGUUUCAAGCUUUUAUGUGUAGAAUAAGACAUACAUUAUUAGCUUCAAACAGAUUAUCCGGGAACAACAACAACAACAACAACAACAACAACAACAAUAAUAAUAAUAAUAAUAAUACAAUUUUGUAUCAAAUGCAUAGUGAAUCAAAUGUUUUGGGGGAUAACAUGUCAUCAAAAUAUGAUAUAAAAAAGAAAGAAACAAUUCCAGUUAGAAUCGCAGGUGGUGACAUGGACACUGGGCUUCUAGAUGGGCCUUUGAACUCGCCUGUUGGUGUUUGGAGGACAGUUGGUGUCGCAAAAGGGUCAAAGGCAAUGAGCAUGACACAGAAUAUGGAAUCUUUCGGGAAUAUUCCUCAUAAUUCUUUCACUGAGGAAGGAAUGUUGUUGUCAUAUGGUCAAAGGCAACCUCUUUUAGAGCUUCUUGAUGGAAUGUCUUUGCUUUUUCAACAAGCGUUGACUUUUGUUGAUGUCACUUUGGAUUCCGAUUGUGGGGACGGGCCCUACGGGUGGUUGGCAAUGCAAGAGCAAUGGAGACGCGGGUUUUCGUGUGGGCCCGCUUUGGUUCAUGCGGGUUGUGGCGGGGUGUUGGCAGCUUCUCAUUCUCUUGAUAUUGCUGGUGUCGAGUUAGCGGAUCCACUUUCCGCUGAUGUAAGCUUCCACACUUUUUUUUUUACUAAAAGACUAUUUUGCCCCCCCGUUAGUGUCAUGUCAGUCAAAGUUGUCAAAUACAGUACAAUCUGUUUUGUAAUGUCAUGUUACAAUCCCAGUGUCAGUCAAGGUUGUACAUUCUACAAAAGUACAGCCUGUUAUGUCAUGUCAUUUCCUGUCCCAUUCUUAGUCAGAUACAGUACAACUUGUUCUGUGGUUAUGACUUAUGACAGAUGUAAUCAUUCUACAUUUUUGUGAAAAUUUGUAUUUUUAAUUAAUGUUUGAUAACUUUAAUGUUAUGUUUCAGGUUCCGGCAUCGUAUGCUAUAACAUUACUACAAUCGGACAUAAAGUUAGCCUUGAAAUCGGCUUUUGGUAACUUUGAUGGACCCUUGUCAGUCAUGGAUUGGUGCAAAGGGCGAAAUGGUCAAAUUGAUGGGUUUUCAGCUGAGUCAUCAGCUAGUAUAAACGAUUGUAGAGAUUCUUCAAGUACACCAACAAGCCCAUCUCAAUCUGCUGGUGGAUCAACAUCCUGUCUUAGCAAAGGUAGUAAAUAUUUUUACUCAUUUAGUAAACAGUAAAUACAUUUGUUGUAUAUAUAUAUUUAUUGUUUUAAUAAAAUAAAAAUCACAUAUUGUUGAUAGAUGGAAAUCGAAUUGAUGAUGUAAGCGAAAGAAGAUCAAACCAAGAUGAGUCAGAGCAGCAACUCGGCCUCAGGCCUGCACUUCUUGUGCUUCCUAUUCCUGCUAUUCUUGUUGGGUAUUAUUAUUAUUAUUAUUAUUAAUAUUUUUAAUAAUAUAAAGUUUUUAUAAUGUUAUUUUGACUAGUCAAACUCUAAAAGGGUGUAUUCAAAUAUAACAGGUAUCAAGAUGAUUGGCUAAAGACAUCAGCAAGCUCUCUUCAACAUUGGGAAAAAGCUCCUUUUGAACCUUAUGCUAUGCAGAAACACGUGAGAAAAUUUUAAUUUACCCUUAGUUUUUAACUUUUUAUUAAUAAUUGUUAACUAAUUUAUUAUCUUCUUUUACAUAAUUUUUGCAGAUGAAUUAUUGCGUUGUAUGUCCAGAUAUCGAUCCCCUUACAACUGCUGCUGCAGACUUCUUUCAACAGCUCGACACUGGUGUGUCAUAAUUACUUGUCUUCUUCUUUUUCCAUUAAGUUCUUUUUCUUUUUUGGACUGAAUGAACUAAGUGUCUGUUUUCAUACAGUUUAUGAAACCUGCAAAUUGGGAACUCAUUCACCUCAAAAUUUGGGUAACCAAACUUCCAAAGACUCGGUCAAAUGGUCAACUUCUGGGUUUGUUUUACUAGAUUGCCCUCAAUCAAUGAAGAUCGAAGGCGAUAGUGCAUCUCUCGUGGGAUCAAUCAGUGAUUACUUUCUUUCUUUAUCCAACGGUUGGGAUUUAACAAGUUUCUUGAAAUCCCUCUCCAAAGUUCUCAAAACCCUAAAACUCAAUUCCAUCUUUGCCCCUAAUUCAAAAGAAGGAAACACCACUCCAUGCACAGUAAUAUACGUGGUGUGCCCGUUUCCCGAACCCGUUUCGAUUUUAAAAACCGUGGUUGAAUCAUGUGUAGCCAUUGGAUCUGCCAUGUGUCCACCAUCCGAUAAAGAACGAAGAUCCGCCUUACAAAAUCAAGUUGGAAAGGCUUUAAGUUGCACAACAGCUGUAGAUGAAGCAUCAAUUUCAAACAUUGUGACAAUUUCCGGUUUCAGUGUCCCUAAAUUAGUCCUCCAAAUCAUAACCGUUGAUUCCAUCUUUCGUGUCACAACCCCGUCUCUCAACGAGCCCGUGAUUUUAAAAGAAAUCGCCUUCACCGUCUACAAUAAAGCCCGAAGAAUCUCCCGAGGAAAUGGAAUCGCGGAUUCCAUUCCAUCGGUUAGAUCUCAGUCGCAGUCUCAUUCUGGAAUGAUGCAAAUGAAUUCGAAUUCGCCGAUUCCUGGGAUGUGGAAAGACUCAAUUGCCCCUCGAAUGGUGGGACCUAGAGAGGGCGAGUGGGAUAACAACUCAUGGCAAAUGUCUAAUCGUGUCACGGGAGAAUAUUUUCUUCAAGAUGAGUUAAAAUACAUGUUUGAGCCGCUUUUUAUUCUUGCGGAUUCACCGGAACGCGGGAUUCCGCCGGAAUCAUUGAAGGUUUUGUCAGAUGAUGGGACGAGUUCGGAUACCGGAGACGGGUUGGAUGACGGAUACGGGUCGACCCAUAAACCUCCCCCGAGUUUACAUUGUUGUUAUGGAUGGACAGAGGAUUGGAAGUGGCUUGUUUGUAUAUGGACUGAUUCCAGAGGGGAAUUACUCGAUAGCUAUACGUUUCCAUUCGGUGGAAUCAGUAGUAGACAAGACACAAAGGGGCUUCAAUUCCUUUUUGUUCAAAUUUUGCAACAAGGUUGUCAGAUACUUCAGGCAUGUUCACCGGAAACAACCACCGCCAGGCCACGAGAUUUUGUCAUUACGCGUAUCGGUUGCUUUUUUGAACUCGAAUGCCAAGGUAUAAUUACGUUUCUACCCUUUGGUAUUACAAUUUACAAUUACAAUACUCGUGUUAAUUAAUUAACAUGAUGUGAUGUGUAUGCAGAAUGGCAGAAAGCACUUUAUUCUAUUGGUGGCUCGGAGGUGAAAAAGUGGUCAUUGCAACUCCGGCGAUCGGUGCCGGAUGGGAUUCCGGCGAGUAGUAAUGGCGGUUCUGAAAUGGGUAUGAUUCAAGAUCGGAAUCUGGCGGCUCAUGGGAAGGGUGGUGGGUUUAUGAAAGGUGGUGGGAUGGGGCAGGCGGCUUCUAGAAAGCAGAUUUUGAGUGGUGGUGGUGGUGGUGGACAUAUGGGAAUGGAUAAUUCCAAGGGUUUGCUUCAAUGGGUGCAAAGUAUAACUUUUGUAUCGGUUUCAGUUGAUCAUUCUUUACAGUUGGUUUAUCAAGCGGAUUCAUCUCCAGGUUAGUUUUAUUUUGGAAGGAAUGGAAUGGUUCAUUCCAAGGAAUGUGAUUCCUGUUUAAUUUAGUUUUUUAAAUUUCUUGGUGCAACAGGGACAACUCAAGGGAGUGGAAUCAUGGGGCAAUCGGUGUACACUGAAGGAUUCACACCUGUAAAAUCUCUGGGUUCCACAUCAGCAUCUUACAUAUUCAUUCCAUCACCCACCAUGCGAUUCCUCCCCCCGAACCCCCUCCAACUCCCCACCUGCCUAACCUCGGAAUCACCGCCACUCGCCCACCUCCUCCACAGCAAGGGUUCCGCCAUUCCCAUUUCCACCGGAUUUGUAGUCUCAAAAGCCGUUCCUUCCAUGCGAAAAGAUUCAAGAACCAACUCCAAAGAAGAAUGGCCUUCGGUUCUCUCAGUAGCCCUUUUCGAUUACUACGGAGGCAACAACAAUAACAAUAGCAACAACAAUAAUAAUAAUAAUAAUAACAACAACAAUAAUAAUAACGAAAAAACAUCCAAGAACAUGGGAAAAUCUAUGGAGAAUCAUGUGAUUUUGGACAGAGUGGCGGCUGAGCUACACGCGUUGUCUUGGAUGACUGUGAGCCCGGGGUACUUAGAAAGAAGAACAUCGCUUCCGUUUCAUUGUGAUAUGGUGUUGAGGUUAAGAAGGCUUUUGCAUUUUGCGGAUAAACAACUCUCGCAGAUUUCGGUUAAGUCAGAAGUUUAGAUGUCUUAAUGGGUUAUUGUGGAGAAAUAGUUGUACAAUGUAUAACUAAAAAAAAAAAUGCAUGAAUGUAGGGUUUUUUUUGGUGAUUAGGGAUAAUGUUUUUAUCAAGGGUUGUGAGAAAUAGAGGGGAGAUUAAAAUACAUAGAUGGUCAUCAAGUGUUGUAGUGGUAGGAGUUGUUGAUUGUUUGUACAAAAACAACAUUUGGAUUUUGAAGGGUGUUUGUGAAGCAUUAUAGAUCAACAUAAUCACCUCUUAUGUUAGUCCAUUAGUCAAACAGAUGACUAGAUGACAGUGUUUGAUAUGUAUUGGACUGUGAUUUGAUUAAUAUUAACGAGACAAAAACUAUAAUAUUUUGUUCUGUUAAAAGGUUGAAAAAGACAGCAAAUGCAAAUUUUCAAAUACAAUCUCAUCUAUGGGUAUGAACUUCAUCCAUUUUAUUUGUGUAAAAAAAAAAGAAAAAAACUAUAUAAUAUAAAUAUAGAAGGAUAUACCGAGAGAGAUGAUAACAUGGGGUGGGUGGGGGCAAUUUAACCCAUGUGAGAGACAAAGGUCCAACCAACCGACCCUUUUCGAUAGUGAAAAGCAAUAAUUAUGUGUAGACACUCAUUUGGGUUAGGCCUUCUUCCCCCAUGUGCAAUGCACAUGAUGCCAAAAUCUCAUUUGUCAUUUUACCUCACCUUCAUUGUUCAUAUCUUGUGAUCCUCAAAAUAUCUUUUGUUUUUUUCAUUAUUGAUCGACCUAAAUUUUGCUCACAUAACAUGAAAAAUAAGUUAUAAACUUGGUUAUUGUUUUAUAUUAUUUGUUACGCAUUUAGUUCAAAAACCAAUAUUGUUUCCAUUUACUCAACUUGAUUUCAUUUCGUUUUGGAUUUGGUCACAUAGUCCAAAAUCAAGACGCUACGUUAAUCGUACACCUAAGGGUAUUUUCGUCUAUUCAUCUACGUAUUUGGUGAAUGCGAUUAAUGGUUUUAUGAAGAAUGAAUGAAAACAACCUCUCACACAGCAUGUGAUAUGAUUUGACGUCUAAUUUUGGACAACGUACCAAUCGCAAAACAAAAUGAAACCACAAUAAUAACAAUUGUAACACAAAUAAUUUUUGAAUUAGAUCUAUAACAAACAAUAUAAGUAUAUAAAACAAAGAUAAUGGUAACAAAUUUUGGAAUUGAUUUACAUUAGUAAAUAAUUAUUUCUUAUUAAUAUUUGUAAGAUGGAACAGUUUUUGGUCUGUUUUUAGCCUUUAGGAUAUGCCAUAGAAGUUUCUGUUUUUUGGAGUUGAGCACAAGUUUUCUCCAAUGAUGUGGGGUUGAUUUGAUUGUUAAUCUUGUUUGUUUUAUUAGCAUUAUUAUUUAAUAAUUCAAAACAAUAAUGAAGGUAACAUGUUAAUUCAACUUUUCCAUCUUAAAAAAAAGUUGUUCUGUCUUUUCUUUAAAUUAGUGAAAGAUGUCUCCUUUUCUACUCAACAAAUUUAUCGACAUAAUUGUUGUGAUCAGCAACUUGAAUUUUGAACGCAAAAAACCAUAAAUUUCUUAUUAAUUUUUUUUUUUACCUUCUCCGAUAACAGAAUAGUCAUCUUGCCAUUUUGAAUGGUUUACGUCCCCUUGUUUUCAUACAAGAAUAAUUUAAGUAAAGCUGCUAUACUAAAGUUCUUAAUCGUGAAUUUAAUUGCAUAUAAUUACAAUAUCAAUAGGAAUUAUGAAAAAUAGGAGAGUAUCGAAAAAGCCAUUGAUUAGCAAAAAAAAGUAGAAUCUGUCAAAAAAAUUAAAGAAAGGAAUGAAUUGGAUUAUGAAGUAGUUGUAAUCAAAAAAAUAUUUUGUUGAUAGUAAAUAAGAUAAAAAAAUCAAUUAUAGAAUGAUUUAUUUAUUUAUUUAUAAUAUAAUGACAUGUUAUUUAUCUACUAUUGUUCUAGGAGUAAUGGUAUUUAGAAAAGGUUGUGAUGUUGAAUUAGGUGUUUUUGUUUUUUGGAAAAAAAUCUUUUCAGACCUUUUAUUGCUGCGUGACGCAGCACACGCGCAACAUUUUUCAUCUCGCAGCUGUUUGUUUUUCAGAAGUCUUCGGAUUAAAAAACAUCCGUGCGUGUUCUUCUUGGAGCAACACUUGUUUUGUCUCUUCCUACCUCUUCCAACUUUUUUUUUCCUUACUAAAAUAUUGAUUAUAUAUUACUGAAAUCUUAUUUCACAUUUUUUUUUUCGUUUUUUUUGUUUAUUCUUGUUGAUUUUUUUAUAUUGAAUAAUAAUAAUUUGUUGAUGAAAUAUCAUUAUUUUAUGUUAAAAUAUCAUUAUUUUUUGUUAAAAUAUCAUUAUUUUUUGCUGAAAUAUCAUAGAUUCUUAUCGAAACGUCAUACACUAUUAAAUUUUCGGUAUUGAAAAACUAUUUUCAGAUUAUAAAAUCAGUUUAUUUUAAUUUUUUAUAUUUGCAGCAGCAUGCAGAUGUUAAAAAAACAAACACGCUUCUUAUUACAGUCUGCAGCCGUUUGAUCCACCUCUUCUACUGCAGAGGGUUGCAGAGGUGGUUCGCAGACUUUAUGAAUUUUUGCUUCAAAAAAAACAAACAACACUUUAGUGAAUCUUGAAGCAUACUCAUGAAGCUACCGCUUUGUGAAUCGUAUUGUUGGAAUUGUGGAGGCGUUGUGUUUAGCUAGAACGGCCCAUCUUGACUUGCGGUGUUUGGGUUUCGUUUAGGUGGUGGUUUGUUUGGAUUUUACUUCAUUGGUUGAGUAUAAAAAAAUAGAGACAAAAUUGCAAGAAUGGUCCCUGUGGUAUGUCAAAACUAGCAUCUUUGGUCCAAAAUGGGUUUGGCUCGCAAGGAUGGUCCAAUAGUUUCGUUUUGUUGUGAGUUUGGUCCAAUUUUCUAUGAACUUUUUUAUAAUGACGGAUUUGCCCUUAUAUUUUAAUUUUCCAUUUUUAUUUUAUUAUCAGUAAUUAAAAAACAAUUAAAAAUAAAACAAAAAUAAAAUACUCUCUCUCCCUCUCUCUCUCUCUUUCUCUUUCUCUNUCUCCCCCCCCCCCCCCCCCCCUCUCUCUCUCUUUACAAACAAAAUUAAUACAGAUCUGGUAGUGGAUUUCUAAAAUGAAGAACCCUAACUUUUAUCAAUUUUGUUCAAUUCAUUGUAUGAAGUCGAAUAGACUAAACACAUACACACUCAUAUAUGCAUAUGAAUCACAAGAACACUCGAUUUUUCCUGAGUUCAAGAACAAGAACAUCAUAUUCACGAACUAAGAAAUCGAUUUCUGAUGAAUUACCAUCACCACCAUCGAAAUCAGUUUCUUCUAUGAAUUGCCCAACUCAAACCCACAAGCACAAAAACAACUCAAUAAACAUAAAGAUGAAGGUAAACUGCAACCCUUUUAUCCCUCUCCCUGAAUCGAAGACACCGUAUACCCUAAAUCAGUACAUGUUAAAGAGAUUACGAUUUACAGAUGAAAGGGAUUACGAUUUACAACCUAGAAAUUUUUGCGUCCUUUCCAAUUAUUGAAUCAAAUGCCAAUCAUGUCCCUUUCUCUUGUUCUUCUCUGAAUCGGUGUGUGUAUCAUUUUUAGGCGUAGAAGAUGACUCUUGUAGAAGAACAAUGAUAACAGUGGCAUUGUAGCUCUAAACGACAAUGAGAGAAAAGCCAGCUAUAGUGGUUUGACCUAGGAGGCGAUGGUGUUGUUGGUAUUCGUCGGAGAUGUUACCUGGUUUAGGUGAUAGGCGAGGUACGAUGGAUGAUGACCAGAUAUACUAGGUGAUGUUGAGGGUCAAAAGGGUGGAUCAGGCAAGAGAAAAGAUGUGUUUUCCGGCGAUUGUAUUCUCACAUAGGUCACUGAGAGGUUGCAACAUGUUUGAUUUUGAAAUUGUUUUGAAUUGAUUUCUUUGAACUUGUCGAAGAAGACAUAUCAGAUAGGCAGGGGAGGGAUGAAGAAGAUGAAUUGUUCUUCGGUAAAAAGAAAAGAAAUAUAUGGGGGGAAUACGGUGGAGAGAGGGAGAGAGAGAGAGAGUAUUUUAUUUAUGUUUUAUUUUUAAUUACUGAUAAUAAAAUAACAAUGGAAAAUUAAAAUAUAAGGGCAAAUCCGUCAUUAUAAAAAAGUUCAUAGGAAAUUGGACCAAACUCGCAACAAAACGAAACUAUUGGACCAUCCUUGCAAGCCAAACCCAUUUUGGACCAAAGGUGCUAGUUUUGACAUACCACAGGGACCAUUCUUGCAAUUUUGUCAAAAAUAGAUGAGAAAAGAAUUAGUUUAUAUAUAUUAUAAAAUGAAAGAUUCUAGUGAGGAAAUAUUUUGUUGAAUUUGUGUAUAUUUAUAAGUAAAAUUUAAAUUGAUUUUAGAAUAUAUAUGUUUAAACAGUAAUUGAAUAUAAUCUAGCAUUCCAGUUAAAUAAACAAUUCCACAUUCAUAUAAGUUACCAUCUCAUUAAGUCAUACACAAAUAACACUUAAGGUUUAAUUCAAAAUGACAUAACAAGACGUCUAAACUGUUUAAAGAUAUUUGAGCAUUAAGUGAAUGUUUCUUAUUAUUAAUCAAAUGUUUUAAAAUAAUCAUGAAAAAGCAGAAACUAUUUAAUGAUCAUCUUAUUACUUUUCACCUAAUUUUAAUUGACCUCCAUUAAUAAAAUUCUAAAAUUCCACAAAAGGAAUAAUAAUGUGAAAUUUGAAGUAGAAUCAUGUACUACGAAGUGGGAAUGCUAUUCCCAAAGCACAGGUUCGGAAAGCAAGAUUUCGAAUAAAGCUACAAAGGUGCAAUUGUGCAAACGCAUUGAGAUUUGUUUUACUUUUGAGAUGAUAGAAAGCAAAAUUAAGAAUUUGAUCAAAAUAAUCUGAAACUAUCUAAUAAUUCCAAUUCCAAUAAGAACAAUGUUCACGUAAUCUGUAUCUUCUCAAAUCCGUAGAUCAAAUCCAAUAAAAUCAGGAACUGAAUUUCAUUAACAAGAAUGAUACAAUAUGAGUAUGGAAAUACUGAUUACAUCGUUAGAUUUAACAUUAUGAUAGUACUAGCUCCUCCCAAAUCCACAGAUCAAAUCCAUUAAUAUCACGAACUAAAUUUUUUAUUAAUCUACCAAACCCAAACAGAAAUAUAGAUAGAAGAUUUACAUUCUUCUCUCUCGCUUCCUUCUAUUCAAAAUAGGAGAAAAGAGAGGGAGCAGAAUUGAUAGGUAUAUGUAUAGUAACAAUAACUCUGAAAAAUAAACCAUACUCUGGAGUAGAAUUAAUUAGAAGAGGAAGGAGAAAACGAGUGCUGAUAGAGAGGCGAUGGCGGUGGGGAUGAAGACGGUUGUGGCGUCGGAAGUAGGAGCUGGAGCCGGAGCCUCUGCGGCGGAGACAGAGAUGGCUGAGACGGCCAUCGUCAUCACCAUCAUUAUGGCGAAAAGCUUCAUCAUCUUUGUUGAAUCCAUGAAUGAGCUCUGCAAUUCAAUUCUCGAUGAAGAUUGUGGGAGAGAAGAGAAUUGUGAGAGCAGAUAGUGGGGAACAGAAGGGUUCGAGUGUUGGGGUUUUAUAGGGAAGGGUAAUGGAGUAUUCUCAAGACAUGGGUGGUAGUAAUAGAGAAGGUCGCUGCCCGCUGCCCGUUUCUUUUUUGGAGAAGAGUAAAUUAGUGUUUUGGUACAUUCAGCCACCCUCAAUUGAAGCCAACAGGGAUCGAACCUGGGUCACAUCCUUUGGAGAGUGAUUUUCCAUGUCAAUCUUGUCCUUAUGCCAUCAAGGUGAUGGUUAAAAUAUCAUCCUAAU
rnacentral:lncRNA from 1 species